UCAUAAUUUCUUGAUAUAAGGAAUAAGGAAUAGCACUCACACUAGCACCUAUGUCACAUAGACCAUGAUAACAGUGAUCUCCUAUUUUAACUGAGACAACAGGCAUGCCAACAACAGGUCUAUGAUUAUCCUUUUUAUUAGGUUUGGCAAUUCUGGCAGCUUCUUCACAGAAGUAAAUAACAUGCCCAUCUACGUUUUCUUCCAGGAGAUCCUUAAUCAUAGCAACACUAGGUUCUACUUUAAUUUGUUCAUCAGGUUUACGUGUUCUAAUAUAAAUUUUGUUAACCACAGUUGAAACUUUAGCAUGUUCCUUUAUCCUAACAGGGAAAGGUGGAUUCUCAAUAUAAGUAGUAGGAACAACUGGAUCAACAUUAUAAAGUGUAGUUUCCUCUUUAAUUGGUACCGGUUCUUUAAUUUCUUCUUUAAUAUGUGGGUGAUAUUUGAACCACGUCUCCUUAGGGAGAUCAACAUGAGUAGAAAAUGAUUCACAAAAGGAGGCUACUAUCUCAGAGUCAAGUCCAUAUUUAGUGCUAAACUUUUAAAAACAUUGGUAUUCAUAAAGGAUUUAACACAAUCAUACUUAAGUUUAAUACCUGGCUCUUUACCUUCGUCGAAUUCCAAUCUUUAGAGUUGCAUUUAAUUCUUUCCAAAAGAUCCCACCGGAAUUCAACAGUGGGUUGUGCCCACCUGGUGGCCCGGCAGACCCUCAAACCGACGCUAUAAAAACCUAUUUUUCAAGAAAAAAAUCAGGGAGAAAGAAUUAUCGCGAUCCACAAGACGGAGUCGCCCUCACCUCCUGUUCUUCAUUGGGAGGCCUGAUCUGGAGUCCGUUUGGGGCUCCGAAGAGGGGGAUCUUCGUUCUUCGUCAUCACCAACCCUUCUCCAUCAUCAAUUCCAUGAUGCUCCCCACCGGGAGUGAGUAAUUCCUUCGUAGGCUCGCUGGUCGGUGAGGAAUUAGAUGAGAUUCAUCAUGUAAUCGAGUUAGUUUUGUUAGGGCUUGAUCCCUAGUAUCCACUAUGUUUUGAGAUUGAUGUUGCUAUGACUUUGCCAUGCUUAAUGCUUGUCACUUUGGGCCCAGGUGCCAUGAUUUCAGAUCUGAACUAUUUAUGUUAUCACCAUUAUAUCCAUGUUCUAGAUCUGAUCUUGCAAGUUAUAGUCACCUACUACGUGUUAUCCGGCAACCCCAGAGUGACAAUAAUCGGGACCACUCCCGGUGAUGACCGUAGUUUGAGGAGUUCAUGUAUUCAUCGUGUGUUAAUGCUUUGUUCCGGUUCUCUAUUAAAAGGAGGCCUUAAUAUCCCUUAGUUUCCAAUAUGGAUCCCGCUGCCACGGGAGGGUAGGAAAAAGAUGUCAUGCAAUUUCUUUCCAUAAGCACGUAUGACUAUUUACGAAAUACAUGCCUACAUUAUAUUUAUGAACUGGAGCUAGUGUCGUAUCGCCCUAGGUUAUGACUGUCACAUGAUGAAUAUCAUCCAACAAAUUACCGAUCCAAUGCCUACGAAUUUAUCUUAUAUUGUUUCUACUAAGUUACUGCUGUUGUUGUCACUGUUGCACUUGCUACAAAAUUACUGCUAUCAUUGUUACUGUUACCAUUGCUGCUGUCACUAUUAUCAAAUCUACCAAACUACUUUGCUACUGAUCACUUGCUGCAGAUAAUUAAUCUCCAGGUGUGGUUGAAUUGACAACUCAGCUGCUAAUACUUACAAAUAUUCUUUGGCUCCCCUUGUGUCGAAUCUAUAAAUUUGGGUUGAAUACUCUACCCUCGAAAACUGUUGCGAUCCCCUAUACUUGUGGGUUAUUGAGACCUUUUUCUGGCGCCGUUGCCGGGGAGCAUAGCUAUAUUUGUUGAGUCACUUGGGAUUAGUAUCAAUUUAUCACUAUGAAGAAUCUGAAGGAUGCUAAGACUAAAAUUUAUCCCUCUAAGACGAGGGGAGGUAAGGAACUGCCAUCCAGUUCUGCUUUAGAGUCACCUUCUGUUAUAAUUAAACUUGCAACACCACCACAUGCUAUUAAUCCUGAUAUGUUGUAAGUUAUUGAUGAUGCUACUUCUACUAUGAAUGAUACUUAUGAUGAUGCUAGUACCUUGCUUGAUGAUGAUGUGCCACUUGGUGACUUUCUUGAUGAACAAAUUGCUAAAGUAAUACAACAUGAUGUUGUUGCAUCUGAUGAUGAGCUUAAAACUGAAACACCUGCUAGAACUAGCCUUCCUAGAUAUGAAUUGCCUAAGGUACCGGAAGGUUAUGUUAUGAGUGAGGAGACAACUAGAGAUAUUCUUGCUUGUAAGGAUAGAGAUGAUCUAGAGAAAUUAUUAUGCAGGUAUAAAGAAAAAUCUCUGAAUGCUAGAAUACAAUAUGAUCCUAAGUUUGCUACAUCACCUAUCUUUAUUGCUGAUAAGGAUUGUGAAUUCUCUGUCGACCCAGAGUUAAUUACUUUGGUUGAAUCUGAUCCUUUCCAUGGUUAUGAAACUAAAACUGUUGUGGCACAUCUUACUAAGUUGACUGACAUAGCCACCCUUUUUACUCAUGAUGAGAAAACUCGCUAUUACUAUAUUCUCAAAUUAUUUCCAUUCUCAUCAAAGGGUGAUGCUAAAGCUUGGCACAAUACUCUUCCUCCUGGCUGUGUACGUAUUCCCCAGGAUAUGAUUUAUUACUUCUCUGAAAAAUAUUUUUCUGCUCAUAAGAAACAAGCUGCCUUACAGGAAAUAUUUAACUUCGUGCAAACUAAUGAAGAGAGUCUCCCACAAGCUUGGGGGAGGCUUUGCCAGUUACUUAAUGCUUUGCCUGAUCAUCCUCUUAAGAAAAUUGAAAUACUUGAUAUCUUCUAUAAUGGACUAACCGAUGCUUCUAGGGAUUUCCUAGAUAGUUGUGCUGGUUGUGUUUUCAGGGAACGAACUGCUGGACAAGCUGAAGAAUCAUUGAAUAACAUAUUGAAAAAUUAUGAUGAUUGGACUCUUCCUGAACCACCGCCUAAACCACUCUGAAGAAGAGGGGUAUAUUAUAUCUCAGUCAUGAAGAUAUGCAAGAUGCAAAGAAAUCUAUGAAGGAAAAAGGUAUUAAAGCUGAGAAUGUUAAAAAUUUACCUCCUAUUGAAGAAAUACAUGGGCUUAAUACACCACCACUGCCUAAGGUGGUAGAGGUAAAUUCUCUAAUGAAAUUCAAUGAUAAUGACAAUCCUCACAAUAUGCACCCUAGUCAAUGCCUUUAUGAGUUUGAGAAUUACGUUAGAAAGCAAGAUCACUUCAAUGCAAAUGUUAUUAAACAAUUGAAAUGCACUUCUGAUAUGAUUGCUCACUUGAGUGCCUUGUUGUUUAGAAUCUCAAAUGAUGUUAGAGGUGUUGGAAAACAUGCUUCUAUGGUAAAAACCCAGUUAGAACAAGUUGCUAAAUCUCAAAGAGAAUUGCAUGACGAAAUGAAUAACAACAUACAUGACUUUGUUGUUAGAGUUGCAACUAGAGGAGGUAAAAUGACUCAGGAACCACUUUAUCCUGAAGGACACCCAAAAAGAAUUGAACAGGAUUCACAAAGGAACAACACCACUGCACCUAGUCCUUCUAAAAAGAAGAAGAAAAAGAAAAAUGAUAGGACUCUGCAUGCUUCUAGUGAGCCUAAAAUAGAAAAACCUCCUGACAAUGAUAAUGAUGUUUCUAUUUCUAAUGCUGAAACUCAAUCUGGUAAUGAACAUUCACCUAGUGAUAAUGAAAAAGAUAAUGUUGAUGUUCAUUAAGAUUCUCAACCAAACAAUGAAAAAUAACAAGAUAAUGAUGUUGAAAUAGAACCAGCUGUUGAUCUUGAUAACCCACAACCCAAGAAUACACGAUAUGAUAAAAUAGACUUCAUUGCUAGAAAACACGAUAAAGAAAGAGAACCGUGGUUUUAAAAACCUAUGCCUUUUCCACCCAAGUCAGCUAAAAAGAAAGAUGAUGAAGAAUUUGAAAGUUUUGCUAAAAUGUUGAGGCCAGCCUUUUUUGCGUACUCGCUUGACUGAUAUCUUGAAAAUGCCUCCUUAUGCAAAGUACAUGAAAGACAUCAUCACUAAUAAGAGAAAAAUACCGGAAGCUGAAAUCUCCACUAUGCUUGCUAGUUAUACUUUUACGGAUGGAGUAUGAUACGUCUCCAAUGUAUCUAUAAUUUUUUAUUGUUCCAUGCUGUUGUAUUAUCAAUCUCGGAUGUUUUAUAAUCAUUUUAUAUAUAGUCAUUUUAUAUCAGUUUUUGGUACUAACCUAUUCACAUAGUGCCAAGUGCAAGUUGAUGUUUUCUGCAUGUUUUUUACAUCGCAGGAAACCAAUACCAAAUGGAGUCCAAACGCAGCGAAACUUUUUGGAGAUUUUUUUGGACCAGAAGACAUCCAGUGGGCCGGAGAAGCACCUGGGGGUGCUUCGAGGGGAGCACAACCCACCAGAGCGCGCCUGGGGGCCCAGGCGCGCCCAGGUGGGUUGUUCCCACCUCGGGUGCCCCCCGAACCGCCUCUUUGCUCUAUAAAUACCCCAAUAUUCCACAAACCCUAGGGGAGUCGACGAAAAUCAAUUCCAGCCGCCGCAGAGUCCGGAACCGCCAGAUCCAAUAUAGACACCAACACGGAGGGGUUCACCACUUCCAUUGGUGCCUCUCCGAUGAUGCAUGAGUAGUUUGUAGACCUACGGGUCCAUAGUUAGUAGCUAGAUGGCUUCCUCUCUCUCUUUUGAUUAUCAAUACAAUAGUCUCUUGGAGAUCCAUAUGAUGUAACUCUUUUUGCGGUGUGUUUGUUCGGAUCAGAUGAACUUUGAGUUUAUGAUCAGAUCUAUCUUUUUAUCCAUGAAAGUUAUUUGAGUCUUCUUUGAUCUAUUAUAUGCAUGAUUUCUUAUAGCCUCGUAUUUCUUCUCCGAUAUUUGGGUUUUGUUUGGCAAACUAGAUCUAUUUAUCUUGCAAUGGGAAGAGGUGCUUUGUAGUGGGUUCGAUCUUAUGGUGCUUGAUCGCAGUGACAGAAGGGGAUCCGACACGUAUGUAUCAUUGCUACUAAGGAUAAAACGAUGGGGUCUAUUUCUACAUAAAUAGAUCUUGUCUACAUCAUGUCAUCGUUCUUAUUGCAUUACUCCGUUUCUCCAUGAACUUAAUACACUAGAUGCAUGCUGGAUAGCGGUCGAUGUGUGGAGUAAUAGUAGUAGAUGCAGGCAGGAGUCGGUCUACUAAUCUUGGACGUGAUGCCUAUAUAAUGAUCAUUGCCUGGAUAUGUCAUGAUUAUUUGAAGUUUUAUCAAUUGCCCAACAGUAAUUUGUUCACCCACCGUUGUUAUUUUUCUCGAGAGAAGCCACCAGUGAAACCUACGGCCCCUGGGUCUCUUCUUUAAUAUAUUUGCCUUUGCGAUCUAUUUUCCUUUGCUUUUAUUUUUAGAUCUAUUAAACCAAAAAUACAAAAAUACCUUGCUGCACUUUAUUUUAUUGUGCGUUCGAUCUAUCAAUAUUUAUUACUCUCUCACGUCCGUUUGCCUAUCUCUAGGCGCCGUUACCCGAAAGGGAUUGACAACCCCUUUUACACGUCGGGUUGCGAGUAUUUGUUAUUGUGUGCAGGUGUUGUUUACAUUGUGUUGCUUGGUUUUCCUACUGGUUCGAUAACCUUGGUCUCAUCACUAAGUGUCGUGGUUUUGUCAUGGCAGAUGUCCUAGUGAGAGGACUUAGUCAUGGAGCCAUCGCGACGGGUUAGCUUAAAGGGGUUAAAGCGAACAAAGGACGCAGAGAGUUUUAUACUGGUUCGGCCCCUUGCAGUGAAGGUAAAGGCCUAAUCCAGUCGUUGUGGAAUUGCUAGGGUUUCGAUGACCAGGGAGCGAACCCUCUAUGCCUGGCUCUCGAGUUGUUGUUUCUUGUCCCUAAACCGCCGCGGGUGGUCCCUUUAUAUCCACAGGUUGACGCCCGGUGGUUUACAGAAUCCCGAGGGCGGCUCAUAAAUGUGUCCGGCUCGGUUUCUACCUUUCUUAUCUUACAACACAAGUUACAUAUGAUAUGGUGGUUUAUGUCUACAGGCCAUAACCCGCCUCUGGGCCCUGGGCCUUCGUAAAGCGCCACACUCCUUGUCUUCAUGGGCUUCAAAUAUAAAUAACUCAUUAUGGGGAUAACCCGGCCUCUCCUGGCCGGUUUAUACCCUGUAGUAAUAUCCCCAACAUUAGGCCCCAGGUUGAUUUGAACUGGUUCAUGUCAAUCUUCAACACUUAAGAAAAGUUCCUCCUUCAGCACUUUCGCAUAAAUCUUGUAAACCGCCAUGACGUCAUCUUACAGGAUCAGGAUAAACCGCCAUGACGUCACCUGUUAUUAAAGAUUGCAUAUAUCUCACCUUCAUUAAUGAGCCUCCGACAAUCGAGGCGACAGCUCUGUCACAUAUCCAACUUUUGGGCUCCUCAAUUUUCGCGCCUGUCACUUAUCCCUUCUCCUUAUAAAUAAGACCAGGGGUCCUUUCCAUUCCCCCCUGUGCCUCUUUGCUUCUUCUUCCUCCUUGCGCCGACCUAACCCUCACGCGCGGCCGCCGUCGUCAAGCUCCGCCCUCGACUUCAACUCCGGCCGUUGCAUCAACCUUAUCGUACUAGAGUAACGCGGCGCUCCUCCGCUGCUCCAUCAGCAUCAGUAAGUUUCUCCUUUCCAUGCUCUAGAUCCACCAUUAGGGUUUCGGUGUUCAUCGGAGUUCAUUGAAGCUCCGGCGCUGUUCUUCCCUGUUCUUCUUAGUAGCAUAAAUGGCUAGUUUGGACUGAUAUUUCUUGUGCGGUCGUAGUCAUAAUCCCCUUUUUCCUCAUUAGAGCAUCCCCUUCGUAUAGAAAAACUCAUCUGAAUCUGAUGAACAGUUGAAGCACCUGUAUUUUAGGUCUGAAUAUAUUUCAGUUUUCUGACACGUUGCAGAUCUAAAUUUAUCAUACCAGUCUGUGAAACCUGUUUUCCCCUCACUUAGCUAUUUUAGAUUUGUACCUUUCAUACCAAUAUAGGCGGUUUAGCUUUUUAGAAAAUGAUAGUCCGGUAGGUACCAUUAGUCCCCUUUUAAACCGCCAAUUCAUUUAUCUUUGUAAUUCCUCCAAUAUUAGACUCCAGUUUAACAAAUGUCAGACUCCGGUUUAACAAUGUAUAUAUGCCUCUGUUUCUGCUUCUGAUCUUGCGUCGCUUUAUACUUGUUCGUCAUAAAUCUUAAACCGGCAUUAAUCCUUUUUCCAGAUUUUUGUUGAAAUGGCCAAACAAUUUUAUGCUUGUAAUUGGGUCCCUUCCCGGGUUACGGAAGAGCAACUAGAAGGCUGUGUCGCCACCGGCGCUUUAGUGAAGAAAGAAGUUAUCCAGUGGAGGGUCCCUGGUCCAGAAAAUCCUCCUGAGCCCAAGGAUGGAGAAGUAGUCGUGUUUGCUGACCACCUGAGCCGAGGGUUUAGCCCUCCCAGAUCAAAAUUCUUCCGAGAUGUACUUGCUAGCUUCCAACUCCACCCUCAGGACAUUGCCCAAACUCUGUGUCCAAUGUUUGCCAUUUCCAAGUAUUUUGCGAGGCUUAUCUUCAAGAGGAGCCCAUAGUUGAACUGUUUAGGGAUUUCUUCUAUUUAAACUGUCGUACAGAGUUUACAGACGGAUCCAACACUGAACUUGGUGGCAUGGCUAUUCAAAAGAGGAAAGAUGUCAGCUUCCCUCACGCCAAGCUUCAUAGUCACCCCAAGGACGGGAAUCAGACUUGGUUUUAUUGCAAAGAUACAUCUCCAACUGACGAAAAUCCUCUGCCGGGUUACCUCCUCACCGUCUUAGCAACACACAUCCCUUUCCUCAGAGAUUAACUUCAAAGGAAAGAUCCAACUACGCACCACAACUGUCAAAGCUCAGAGCCUUUAUGGCGAACGGUUUAACACGUGUUGAUUUUGCUCGCUGCUGGAUAACCUAGAGCAUUUUGCCCUUAAGUCGGCGCCCCGGUUUAAUGUGUGAGUACAUAGGGAGUUUGAAAGAUCCUCAGCGACAUGUUGAUAUUCAGCUAACAGAAGUUGAAGUUACCGAGUCUUUCAAGAAAAUACUGAAUGAACCGGAAGCUGUCUGUAGCCAAACCGGAUUAAGUCCUUUCUGCGUUUCCAAUAAACCGCCAACUGUAAGAAUCACAUAACUUUUUUGUUUUAGCUUGCUCCUUCUUAAUACUGUAUCAAAAUUUUGUCCAUUUUUGACAAGGCGAUGAUCCAUUCUGGAAGAAAAAACCACAGGAUAAACCGGCAAAAAUACCUCGCCCGAAGACCAAGGUUACCAAAAAACCUGCCAAGAAGAGGACCACUGAGUCUUCUGAACCAAAUACUGAUGCUGACCUGGCUAAUCCGGAUUCAGAGGUAGAACUUGACUCUCUUGGAUCUUUUUUCAUACACCUCAUUGACAAUGACUGUUACUAGGAUGAUGCUGAAGGCAGCCAAGCUGAUGAUGCAGAGGUAAUUAUCCUUUCUUCCGGUUUAGACCCUCUGCCAACACAGAAAAUCCGUCAAGCAAACCGGAAAGUAAAAUUUUCUCACCCCUUAGCUCACUUGGACCCAAACUUUCUUUUGAAGAAGCAGCAACACGAAGCCCGCCGCACAACCCGGCACAGCGGCCAGGUAGUUACCUCUGCCGGUUUACCGAACACUCCAGUCCGGAAACGUCGAUCAGAGGUCUCUUAUAUUCCUGAUAUUUCUUGCCCCAAGGCGGGUUGUUUCCGACAGCCUCUUAAUCCGUCUGAUCCGAAUUAUCAGGGAACACCUCAUUCAUCCUUUGGCGAGUGAACGGCCACACAACUUCCAACCCUCAAGACGGUUCCGGGGUGAGUUAUGCUUUAACUUCAUCCUUAAUAUACUAUGUUCAUCCAAUGCAUUGACCUUUACAUUUAUUUUUCUCAGUGCCAAGCCUAGACCCAGUAAAAAGGCUCAGUUAAUUAAACCAGCUGAUGAUAAUGUGGUUAUUGAACCGGAGAGAACUCUAGAGCCAGAAGGAACAAAUGUUGAUGCCAUGCUUAAUGAUCCGCCGCCUCAAGACCAUGACUUUUUAUUGAACAAGUAGAAGUUGACACCACAGGCCAUGCUGAUAAACCGACAAGCCCGGCCCGAACUGAUGAUAAACCGGCAAGUCCAGCUAAGGCUGCUGAUAAAUCGUCAUCUCCGAUGAAGGCUGCUGAUGAUAAAGAGGAUGACAUUAUGAUUACUGGCUUCGGCCACACUGCUCCUGGCAAUCCUGUCGCUUUAUCCAAGCAUAGUGCCAAGGACAAGCUUUCUGCUAUGGGCAAAGGCAAAUGGAACACAGAUUUGUCAAGCUAUGCCCACCUCAACGCCCAAGACAUCCAUUCUGGUUUUUUGAACCAUCUGUACACAAGUCGCGACUUUGAAGCCGGUUUAGUGAAUCUGAUGAAAGAGCGAUAUGAGGUAACUGCAUAACUGUUUCUCCCUUAUGUCCAAUUCCAAAUAUCAACUCCAGUAGCCCCCAAGUGCCGGUUUAUGAUAUCCAUCUAAAUCGGGACUUUGUAAUAUCUCAACUUUGCAUGCUUAGCCUCCAAGGGCCGGGUUAUCUUUUUAAGAUGAACCGGUACUUGAGAAUUGUAAUAUUGUAAUUUUCGCCGGUGUAGUCCCCAAGGGCCGGUUUAACUUAUGAAGAUGAACCGGGACUUCAGAAUAACCACCUUGUCACUUUCACCUGUAUAAUCCCCCAUGGCCGGUUUAUCCUUUAAAGCUAAACCGGGACUUUAGAAGAGUACCCAUAAUGUUACUUUGAUCAAACAUACAUUAGCCCCCAAAUGCCAAGAGUAAUACUUGUAUUGUACUUGGGACUUGUAGAAAUUUUCGAUAAUGAGCAAAUAGGCAUUAGCCCCCAAGUAUCAGGUGCAUAACUUGUUAUGUGCUUGGUACUUCAAAUAUGUACUGCCAACUCAUGAUAUGUCUGUCUCUUAUAGGCUGAGCUGAGCAAAAAGGAAGCUCAAACCGCUGAUCUGCAAGAAAAUAUCAAGUCCCAGCAAGCAGAAACCUCCAAAGCCAAAGAUGAGCUGACCAGUGCCUUAGCCGCUAUGGAAAAGUUGAAGGAGGGUUUCAACAAGGAGCGGGCGGAUUGGGACACAGAAAAAUCCGCUUUGAAAAAAAGAGCCGAGGACGCAGAAGCAACUCUUAAACCGGUGGUAGACGAGUUGACUGGUGUAAAGCGGCAAAUACAUGCCAUGACUGCUGCUGUGUUUGGUAAAUAUCCUUGCUUUAAGUUUUCAACAUAUCAUCCCAUAUAUUGUUGGUUUACUGAUGUCCAUAAUGAUGCAGGAACUCGCAUUAGCCAUCUGGGAGGAGCAAAAAAACAAAAGAAACCGAAGGCUGCGUAUACUCUUAUAGAGCAGUUAUAUACCGGCGCGCAACGGGUAAUAUGCACUGCUUCUCAUAACAAGCCGCCCCCAACCUUAAUCAAAUAAACUUUAGAAAGGUUGUCCAUGUUGCCUGCCUGGAUUGAAGAAUUGAAAAGAUCGACUGCAAGGGUAGGUGCUCUGACCGCGCUAACCCGGGCUAAGGCAUGGGUGCUUGAUCUUGAUCCGGUGGACGUGGGUAAAGGCUAUCCGAGCUUAAGGGAGGACGGAUCAGACUUUGACAAUGAUGCCCUCCGAGUUAUAACCAGGGAGAUGCGUCCACUGGCUUGCCAAUUGGCUGAAGAAGCUGACCUGUCAUACUAUCAGGCGAGUUAUGACGUCAACAACAAACGGGUUGCUGCACCAACUCCUGAGGCUCAAAACCUCAUUCCGCCAAUCCAUAAGCACACCUAUGCCCCUGACAUUGAGCCGUCCACCCUUAUAAGUGACGAAGCUGUAUUCCAAGCCCUAACUGGGAUCGACUGGGCAACCAUUGACUUCCAGCCACUGGGUAGAGAUGAAGAGGAUGAACCGGUGCAAGAUGAUCCGCAGCCGUCAAGUCAACCUGGUGACGAAUCAUGAUCCGGAGGCCGGUUUAGCCUUCUGCGUACUGCAACACUUGCCGAAAAACAAUUAUCCUUUUGGGCAUUAAAGCGCCUUGUAAUAGGCUAGUUCAAACAUUUUGUCUGCUAUGCCAUCGCACAUAUUUAUUUUGCUUGACACCGUUAAUUCGUCAUGCUUAAGAUAUAUGAUGUUCAUAAUCCGCAACUGCACCUGCAUACAAGAAGUUGAAAGUGUCCUGGCGGUUUACCGUCGGACGGGUCAUGAUGCCCAAAUACCUAGCCAGGGUUUAUAACCGAGGCUGUAAAAAGAUAAUAAAAUAUGAAAAUAAAUGAUACCUGUGACCUUGAAUCACAUCGUUGGUUGACCAACUUUUGUAGUGAGGGUGAUAACCCUAAUCAUGAGUACUGAUAACUCCUUCCAUAUUGUGCCGGUUUAUGAUAAAACCGUACCGGGUUGUAAUAAACACCGGAUUAUCUAUAUAUAACACUGGUGACUUAUAGUCGAAACCAGACCGGGUUUAUAAGCACCGGAUUAUAACUGAUCAUGUACUGACAACUUGUAGUUGAAAGCCAAGUCGGGUCAAUAAACGCCGGUCUAUUAUAAAAUAUUAUAAACCUCAAAAGGAGUAAAAACUUGGCAAAUAAAGCAAAAAAGAACAUGCGAGGCUUUUCAUGGGCUGCCAGGCCCCAAAUCGAGGCUUUUCAUGGGCUGUCAGGCCACUGAGUUAAACCAUUUUACAAAGCCUUUUAAGAUGGACCUCAAUCUUUAACCAAUCGUCGUUUUAACUUUGAUAAGUUCAGGGUCUAUGAGAUUGACUUGUCAAAAGUUCGGCGGGUCAUACCAGGUUUACCUGGACGGAGUGGCUUACUUAAAAAGGCAGGAUAACCCGGGGUUUUAGGUGAAUACACCUGGCUUCCAAGCCGUGGCUUGAUAGCCUAUUACAAGUGUAGAUUCUUUGUUCAUUGCGAAGCAAAGAAUCCCCAAGCAAUAUUUUGAGCUGUGCUCAGUGGGUGCCUAUGUUUGAGUUGUGCUUUUGCAACACUCUCUUUGGCCCUGAAGUAAUUUUCUUUUGGCCUUGAGCCGAUCAAGAGGUGUAGCUAUGGUUCGAAUACGACCAAGCCCCCAAGUGAUUUUCCUGGUGGCCUUGCGCCGAUCAAGAGGUUUAGCUUAUGGUUCGAAUACGACCAAGCCCCCAAGUGAUUUUUAUAUAUGGCUUUAUAAGCUGAAUCAAGGGGUAAACCGGACUCCGCUUUAUAAACAGAAGCCCCCAUGUAACCACACAUGAUGUAAGAAAAACAACAAAUACCCCGCUUUAGCUGAGGCUCCGGUUUAUUAUAUUGAUCAUAAUAUAUACAUUGUCAUAACUAUGUCAAUAAUUAGAGUUGUGGCUCAAGUAUAGUAAGGCCGAAGAUGAGCGAUAUUCCAUGGCCAGUGGGUCUCCUCCUCCGAUUUACGUGAGUCUUUGUGCUCUCGAACAUCUAUAAGGUAGUAUGACCCGUUAUGCAAAUUCUUGCUGACCACAAAGGGCCCUUCCCAAGGCGGGGAUAACUUGUGCAUAUCAGUCUGAUCCUAGAUGAGUCGGAGCACCAGAUCGCCUUCUUGAAAAGUUUUGGUUCUAAUCUGGCGGCUGUGAUAGCGACGCAGAUCUUGCUGGUAAAUCACCGACCAAGCUGCUGCAAUGUCACGCUCCUCAUCUAACAGGUCAAGUGCUUCCUGUCGUGCCUUCUCACUGUCAGCUUCGACAUAAGCCGCCACACGAGGCGAGUCAUGACGGAUGUCACUAGGGAGAACCGCCUCUGCUCCGUAAACCAUGAAAAAGGGCGUGCAACCCGUGGAUCUGUUGGGCGUGGUGUUGAUGCUCCAUAACACGGCUUCCAAACAACAACCCGGCGUCCGUUUCAAAGGAACCAUGAGCCGGGGUUUGAUGCCUCUCAAGAUCUCUUGAUUGGCUCUCUCCGCUUGACCAUUAGAUUGGGGGUGAGCCACUGACGAUACGUCAAGCUGGAUGUGCUCCCGUUGACAGAACUCUUUCAUUGCACCUUUGGACAGAUUAGUGCCAUUAUCAGUUAUGAUGCUGUGUGGAAAGCCAAACCAGAAAAUCACCUUCUUGAUGAAUUGAACCGCCGUAGCUGCAUCACACCUACUGACUGGCUGUGCCUCCAUCCACUUAGUGAACUUAUCAACCGUCACCAGAAGGUGGGUCUUCUUAUCCUUAGAUCUCUUAAAGGGCCCAACCAUAUCCAGCCCCCAAGUCACAAACGGCCAAGUGAUUGGAAUCAUCCUCUACUCUUGAGCCGGUACAUGAGCGCGUCGUGAGAAUUACUGACAACCGUCGCACUUUUUCACCAAGUCUUCCACAUCAGCAUGAGCCGUCAGCCAAUAGAAGCCAUGACGAAAAGCUUUAGCUACCAGGGACUUUGAACCGGCGUGGUGACCACAAUCCCCUUCGUGGAUCUCACGCAGAAUCUCACGGCCUUCUUCAGGAGAUACACAACGUUGAAACGCCCCUGUUACACUGCGGUGAUGUAAUUCUCCAUUGACAAUGGUCAUUGACUUGGAUCACCAGAUUAUCUGUCUGGCCAAAGUUUCAUCCUCUGGCAACUCGCCCCGGUUCAUAUACGCCAAAUAUGGGACGGUCCAAUCCGGGAUAACAUGAAGCGCCGCCACCAAUUGAGCCUCCGGAUCAGGAACAACCAGAUCCUCCUCUAUGGGGAGUUUGACUGACGGACUAUGCAGUACAUCCAGAAAGACGCUGGGUGGAACCGAUUUACGCUGGGAACCCAAACGGCUUAAAGCGUCCGCCGCUUCAUUCUUCCGCCGGUCCACAUGAUCAACCUGAUAGCCCUUGAAGUGACCUGCAACAAUAUCCACCUCUCGACGAUAUGCUACCAUGAGCGGAUCCUUGGAAUCCCAAGUACCAGACACUUGUUGAGCCACUAGGUCCGAGUGUUGGAAAUAUGCCCUAGAGGCAAUAAUAAAUGGUUAUUAUUAUAUUUCUUUGCUCAUGAUAAUUGUCUAUUGUUCAUGCUAUAAUUGUGUUAUCCGGAAAUCGUAAUACACGUGUGAAUAUAUAGACCACAACGUGUCCCUAGUAAGCCUCUAGUUGACUAGCUCGUUGAUCAACAGAUAGUCAUGGUUUCCUGACUAUGGACAUUGGAUGUCAUUGAUAACGGGAUCACAUCAUUAGGAGAAUGAUGUGAUGGACAAGACCCAAUCCUAAGCAUAGCAUAAAAGAUCGUGUAGUUCGUUUGCUAGAGCUUUUCCAAUGUCAAGUAUCUUUUCCUUAGACCAUGAGAUCGUGUAACUCCCGGAUACCGUAGGAGUGCUUUGGGUGUGCCAAACGUCACAACGUAACUGGGUGACUAUAAAGGUACACUACGGGUAUCUCUGAAAGUGUCUGUUGGGUUGACACGGAUCGAGACUGGGAUUUGUCACUCCGUAUGACGGAGAGGUAUCUCUGGGCCCACUCGGUAAUGCAUCAUCAUAAUGAGCUCAAUGUGACUAAGGAGUUAGCCACGGGAUCAUGCAUUACGGUACGAGUAAAGAGACUUGCCGGUAACGAGAUUGAACAAGGUAUUGGGAUACCGACGAUCGAAUCUCGGGCAAGUAACAUACCGAUUGACAAAGGGAAUUGUAUACGGGAUUGAUUGAAUCCUCGACAUCGUGGUUCAUCCGAUGAGAUCAUCGUGGAACAUGUGGGAGCCAACAUGGGUAUCCAGAUCCCGCUGUUGGUUAUUGACCGGAGAGGCGUCUCGGUCAUGUCUGCAUGUCUCCCGAACCCGUAGGGUCUACACACUUAAGGUUCGGUGACGCUAGGGUUGUAGAGAUAUUAGUAUGCGGAAACCCGAAAGUUGUUUGGAGUCCCAGAUGAGAUCCCGGACGUCACGAGGAGUUCCGGAAUGGUCCGGAGGUGAAGAAUUAUAUAUAGGAAGUCCAGUUUCGGCCACCGGGAAAGUUUCGGGGGUUAUCGGUAUUGCAUCGGGGCCACCGGAAGGGUCCCGGGGGUCCACCGGGUGGGGCCACCUAUCCCGGAGGGCCCCAUGGGCUGAAGUGGGAAGGGAACCAGCCCUUAGUAGGCUGGGGCGCCCCCCUUGGGCCUCCCCCUGCGCCUAGGGUUGGAAACCCUAGGGGUGGGGGCGCCCCACUUGGCUUGGGGGGGAAGCCACCCCCCCUUCCCCCGUGGCCGCCGCCCUCCCUUGGAGAUCUGAUCUCCCAGGGCCGUCGCCCCCCCAGGGGGCCUGUAUAUAGUGGGGGGAGGGAGGGCAGCAGCACCACAGCCCCUGGCGCCUCCCUCUCCCCCUGCAACACCUCUCCCUCUCGCAGAAGCUUGGCGAAGCCCUGCCGAGAUCCCCGCUACUUCCACCACCACGCCGUCGUGCUGCUGGAUCUCCAUCAACCUCUCCUUCCCCCUUGCUGGAUCAAGAAGGAUGAGAUGUCGCUGCUCCGUACGUGUGUUGAACGUGGAGGUGUCGUCCGUUCGGCACUCGGUCAUCGGUGAUUUGGAUCACGGCGAGUACGACUCCAUCAACCCCGUUCAUUGGAACGCUUCCGCUCGCGAUCUACAAGGUUAUGUAGAUGCACUCCUUUCCCCUCGUUGCUAGUAUACUCCAUAGAUGGAUCUUGGUGAUGCGUAGGAAAUUUUAAAAUUCUGCUACGAUCCCCAACAGUGGCAUCAUGAGCCAGGCCUAUGCGUAGUUACUAUGCACGAGUAGAACACAAAGCAGUUGUGGGCGUAGAUGUUGCCAAUUCUUCUUGCCGCUACUAGUCUUAUCUUGUUUCGGAGGUAUUGUGGGAUGAAGCGGCCCGGACCGACCUUACACGUACGCUUACGUGAGACAGGUUCCACCGACUGACAUGCACUAGUUGCAUAAGGUGGCUAGCGGGUGUCUGUCUCUCCCACUUUAGUCGGAACGGAUUCGAUGAAAAGGGUCCUUAUGAAGGGUAAAUAGAAAUUGGCAUAUCACGUUGUGGUUUUACGUAGGUAAGAAACGUUCUUGCUAGAAACCUAUACAAGCCACGUAAAACUUGCAACAACAAUUAGAGGACGUCUAACUUGUUUUUGCAGCAUGUGCCUUGUGAUGUGAUAUGGCCAGAGGAUGUGAUGAAUGAUAUAUGUGAUGUAUGAGAUUGAUCAUAUUCUUGUAAUAGGAAUCACGACUUGCAUGUCGAUGAGUAUGACAACCGGCAGGAGCCAUAGGAGUUGUCUUUAUUUUUUGUAUGACCUGCGUGUCAUUGAAUAACGCGAUGUAAAUUACUUUACUUUAUUGCUAAACGCAUUAGCCAUGGAAGUAGAAGUAAUCGUUGGCGUGACAACUUCAUGAAGACACAAUGAUGGAGAUCAUGAUGAUGGAGAUCAUGGUGUCAUGCCGGUGACGAAGAUGAUCAUGGUGCCCCGAAGAUGGAGAUCAAAGGAGCAAAAUGAUAUUGGCCAUAUCAUGUCACUAUUUGAUUGCAUGUGAUGUUUAUCAUGUUUUGCAUCUUGUUUGCUUAGAACGACGGUAGUAAGUAAGAUGAUCCCUUAUAAUAAUUUCAAGAAAGUGUUCCCCCUAACUGUGCACCGUUGCGAAGGUUCGUUGUUUCGAAGCACCACGUGAUGAUCGGGUGUGAUAGAUUCUAACGUUCGCAUACAACGGGUGUUGACGAGCCUAGCAUGUACAGACAUGGCCUCGGAACACACGCAAUGCACUUAGGUUGACUUGACGAGCCUAGCAUGCACAGACAUGGCCUCGGAACAUGGAGGACCGAAAGGUCGAGCAUGAGUCGUAUAGAAGAUACGAUCAACAUGGAGAUGUUCACCGAUCUUGACUAGUCCGUCUCACGUGAUGAUCGAACACGGCCUAGUUAACUCGGAUCAUGUUUCACUUAGAUGACUAGAGGGAUGUCUAUCUGAGUGGGAGUUCAUUGAAUAAUUUGAUUAGAUGAACUUAAUUAUCAUGAACUUAGUCUAAAAUCUUUACAAUAUGUCUUGUAGAUCAAAUGGCCCACGUUGUCCUCAACUUCAACGCGUUCCUAGAGAAAACCAAGCUGAAAGAUGAUGGCAGCAACUAUACGGACUGGGUCCGGAACCUGAGGAUCAUCCUCAUAGCUGCCAAGAAAGAUUAUGUCCUAGAAGCACCGCUAGGUGAAGCACCAAUCCCAGAGAACCAAGACAUUAUGAACGCUUGGCAAUCACGUGCUGAUGAUUACUCCCUCGUUCAGUGCGGCAUGCUUUACAGCUUAGAACCGGGGCUCCAAAAGCGUUUUGAGAAGCAUGGAGCAUAUGAGAUGUUCGAAGAGCUGAAAAUGGUUUUCCAAGCUCAUGCCCAGGUCGAGAGAUAUGAAGUCUCCGACAAGUUCUUCAGCUGUAAAAUGGAGGAAAAUAGUUCUGUUAGUGAGCACAUACUCAGAAUGUCUGGGUUACACAACCGCUUGUCUCAACUGGGAGUUAAUCUCCCGGAUGACGCGGUCAUUGACAGAAUCCUUCAGUCGCUUCCACCGAGCUACAAGAGCUUUGUGAUGAACUUCAAUAUGCAGGGGAUGGAAAAGACCAUUCCUGAGGUAUAUUCAAUGCUGAAAUCAGCGGAGGUGGAGAUCAGAAAGGAACAUCAAGUGUUGAUGGUGAAUAAAACCACUAAGUUCAAGAAAGGCAAGGGUAAGAAGAACUUCAAAAAGGACGGCAAGGGAGUUGCCGCGCCCGGUAAGCCAGUUGCCGGGAAGAAGUCGAAGAAUGGACCCAAGCCUGAAACUGAGUGCUUUUAUUGCAAGGGAAGUGGUCACUGGAAGCGGAACUGCCCCAAAUACUUAGCGGACAAGAAGGCCGGCAACACCAAAGGUAUAUGUGAUAUACAUGUAAUUGAUGUGUACCUUACCAGUACUCGUAGUAGCUCCUGGGUAUUUGAUACCGGUGCGGUUGCUCAUAUUUGUAACUCAAAACAGGAGCUGCGGAAUAAGCGGAGACUGGCGAAGGACGAGGUGACGAUGCGCGUCGGGAAUGGUUCCAAGGUCGAUGUGAUCGCCGUCGGCACGCUACCUCUGCAUUUACCUACGGGAUUAGUUUUGAACCUCAAUAAUUGUUAUUUAGUGCCAGCUUUGAGCAUGAACAUUGUAUCUGGAUCUCGUUUAAUUCGAGAUGGCUACUCAUUUAAAUCCGAGAAUAAUGGUUGUUCUAUUUAUAUGAGAGAUAUGUUUUAUGGUCAUGCCCCGCUGGUCAAUGGUUUAUUCUUGAUGAAUCUCGAACGUGAUGUUACACAUAUUCAUAGUGUGAAUACCAAAAGAUGUAAAGUUGAUAACGAUAGUCCCACAUACUUGUGGCACUACCGCCUUGGUCACAUUGGUGUCAAGCGCAUGAAGAAGCUCCAUGCAGAUGGACUUUUGGAAUCUCUUGAUUACGAAUCAUUUGACACGUGCGAACCAUGCCUCAUGGGUAAGAUGACCAAGACUCCGUUCUCCGGAACAAUGGAGCGAGCAACCAACUUAUUGGAAAUCAUACAUACCGAUGUGUGCGGUCCAAUGAGUGUUGAGGCUCGCGGAGGAUAUCGUUAUGUUCUCACUCUCACUGAUGACUUAAGUAGAUAUGGGUAUGUCUACCUAAUGAAACACAAGUCUGAAACCUUUGAAAAGUUCAAGGAAUUUCAGAGUGAGGUUGAGAAUCAACGUGACAGGAAAAUAAAGUUCUUACGAUCAGAUCGUGGUGGAGAAUAUUUAAGUCAUGAAUUUGGUACGCACUUAAGGAAAUGUGGAAUCGUUUCACAACUCACGCCGCCUGGAACACCUCAGCGAAACGGUGUGUCCGAACGUCGUAAUCGCACUCUAUUGGAUAUGGUGCGAUCUAUGAUGUCUCUUACCGAUCUACCACUCUCAUUUUGGGGCUAUGCUUUAGAGACUGCCGCAUUCACUUUAAAUAGGGCUCCGUCGAAAUCCGUUGAGACGACACCGUAUGAAUUAUGGUUUGGGAAGAAACCUAAGAUGUCGUUUCUAAAAGUUUGGGGAUGCGAUGCUUAUGUCAAGAAACUUCAACCUGAAAAGCUCGAACCCAAGUCGGAAAAAUGCGUCUUCAUAGGAUACCCUAAGGAAACCAUUGGGUAUACCUUCUACCUCAGAUCCGAAGGCAAGAUCUUUGUUGCCAAGAAUGGGUCCUUUCUGGAGAAAGAGUUUCUCUCGAAAGAAUUGAGUGGGAGGAAAGUGGAACUUGAUGAGGUGAUAGUCACCCCUUCCGAACCGGAAAGUAGCGCAGCGCGGGAAGAUGUUCCUGUGGUGCCUACACCGACUGGGGAGGAAGUUAAUGAUAAUGAUCAUGAAGCUACGGAUCAAGUUACUACUAAACUUCGUAGGUCCACAAGGACACGUUCCGCACCAGAGUGGUACGGCAACCCUGUCCUGGAAAUCAUGUUGUUAGACAACGGUGAACCUUCGAACUAUGAAGAAGCGAUGGCGGGCCCGGAUUCCGACAAAUGGCUAGAAGCCAUGAAAUCCGAGAUAGGAUCCAUGUAUGAAAAGAAGUAUGGACUUUUACUGACUUGCCCGAUGAUCGGCGAGCCAUAGAAAACAAAUGGAUCUUUAAGAAGAAGACAGGCGCGGAUGGUAAUGUGACCAUCUAUAAGGCUCGACUUGUCGCUAAGGGUUAUCGACAAGUUCAAGGGGUUGACUACGAUGAGACUUUCUCACCCGUAGCGAAGCUGAAGUCCGUCCGAAUCAUGUUAGCAAUUGCCGCAUUCUAUGAUUAUGGGAUAUGGCAAAUGGACGUCAAAACGGCAUUCCUUAACGGUUUUCUUAAGGAAGAAUUGUAUAUGAUGCAGCCGGAAGGUUUUGUCGAUCCUAAGAAUGCUAACAAGGUAUGCAAGCUCGAGCGCUCCAUCUAUGGACUGGUGCAAGCAUCUCGGAGUUGGAACAUUCGUUUUGAUGAGAUGAUCAAAGCGUUUGGGUUUACACAGACUUAUGGAGAAGCCUGUGUUUACAAGAAAGUGAGUGGGAGCUCUGUAGCAUUUCUCUUAUUAUAUGUGGAUGACAUACUAUUGAUGGGAAAUGAUGUAGAAUUCUUGGAAAGUAUAAAGGCCUAUUUGAAUAAGUGUUUUUCAAUGAAGGACCUUGGAGAAGCUGCUUAUAUAUUAGGCAUCAAGAUCUAUAGAGAUAGAUCAAGGCGCCUCGUUGGUCUUUCAUAGAGUACGUACCUUGACAAGAUAUUGAAGAAGUUCAAUAUGGAUCAGUCCAAGAAGGGGUUCUUGCCUGUAUUGCAAGGUGUGCAAUUGAGCACGGCUCAAUGCCCGACCACGACAGAAGAUAGAGAAAAGAUGAGGGUCAUCCCCUAUGCCUCGGCCAUAGGGUCUAUUAUGUAUGCCAUGCUGUGUACCAGACCUGAUGUAAACCUUGCCGUAAGUUUGGUAGGGAGGUACCAAAGUAAUCCCGGCAUGGAACACUGGACAGCGGUCAAGAAUAUCCUGAAGUACCUGAAGAGGACUAAGGAUAUGUUUCUCGUUUAUGGAGGUGACGAAGAGCUCGUCGUAAAGGGUUACGUCGACGCUAGCUUCGACACAGAUCUGGAUGACUCGAAGUCACAAACCGGAUACGUGUAUAUUUUGAAUGGAGGAGCAGUAAGCUGGUGCAGUUGCAAGCAAAGCGUCGUGGCGGGAUCUACAUGUGAAGCAGAGUACAUGGCAGCCUCAGAGGCAGCGCAAGAAGCAAUCUGGAUGAAGGAGUUCAUUACCGACCUAGGGGUGAUUCCCAAUGCGUCGGCCCCGAUGACUCUCUUCUAUGACAACACUGGAGCUAUUGCCCUUGCCAAGGAGCCCAGGUUUCACAGGAAGACCAGGCAUAUCAAGCGUCGCUUCAACUCCAUUCGUGAAAGUGUUCAAAAUGGAGACAUAGAUAUUUGUAAAGUACAUACGGACCUGAAUGUAGCAGAUCCGUUGACUAAACCUCUCCCUAGAGCAAAACAUGAUCAACACCAGAACGCUAUGGGUGUUCGAUUCAUCACAAUGUAACUAGAUUAUUGACUCUAGUGCAAGUGGGAGACUGUUGGAAAUAUGCCCUAGAGGCAAUAAUAAAUGGUUAUUAUUAUAUUUCUUUGUUCAUGAUAAUUGUCUAUUGUUCAUGCUAUAAUUGUGUUAUCCGGAAAUCGUAAUACACGUGUGAAUAUAUAGACCACAACGUGUCCCUAGUAAGCGUCUAGUUGACUAGCUCGUUGAUCAACAGAUAGUCAUGGUUUCCUGACUAUGGACAUUGGAUGUCAUUGAUAACGGGAUCACAUCAUUAGGAGAAUGAUGUGAUGGACAAGACCCAAUCCUAAGCAUAGCAUAAAAGAACGUGUAGUUCGUUUGCUAGAGCUUUUCCAAUGUCAAGUAUCUUUUCCUUAGACCAUGAGAUCGUGUAACUCCCGGAUACCGUAGGAGUGCUUUGGGUGUGCCAAACGUCACAACGUAACUGGGUGACUAUAAAGGUACACUACGGGUAUCUCUGAAAGUGUCUGUUGGGUUGACACGGAUCGAGACUGGGAUUUGUCACUCCGUAUGACGGAGAGGUAUCUCUGGGCCCACUCGGUAAUGCAUCAUCAUAAUGAGCUCAAUGUGACUAAGGAGUUAGCCACGGGAUCAUGCAUUACGGUACGAGUAAAGAGACUUGCCGGUAACGAGAUUGAACAAGGUAUUGGGAUACCGACGAUCGAAUCUCGGGCAACUAACAUACCGAUUGACAAAGGGAAUUGUAUACGGGAUUGAUUGAAUCCUCGACAUCGUGGUUCAUCCGAUGAGAUCAUCGUGGAACAUGUGGGAGCCAACAUGGGUAUCCAGAUCCCGCUGUUGGUUAUUGACCGGAGAGGCGUCUCGGUCAUGUCUGCAUGUCUCCCGAACCCGUAGGGUCUACACACUUAAGGUUCGGUGACGCUAGGGUUGUAGAGAUAUUAGUAUGCGGAAACCCGAAAGUUGUUCGGAGUCCCGGAUGAGAUCCCAGACGUCACGAGGAGUUCCGGAAUGGUCCGGAGGUGAAGAAUUAUAUAUAGGAAGUCCAGUUUCGGCCACCGGGAAAGUUUCGGGGGUUAUCGGUAUUGUACCGGGACCACCGGAAGGGUCCCGGGGGUCCACCGGGUGGGGCCACCUAUCCCGGAGGGCCCCAUGGGCUGAAGUGGGAAGGGAACCAGCCCUUAGUGGGCUGGGGCGCCCCCCUUGGGCCUCCCCCUGCGCCUAGGGUUGGAAACCCUAGGGGUGGGGGCGCCCCACUUGGCUUGGGGGGGAAGCCACCCCCCUUCCCCCUUGGCCGCCGCCCCCCUUGGAGAUCUGAUCUCCCAGGGCCGGCGCCCCCCCCAGGGGGCCUAUAUAUAGUGGGGGGAGGGAGGGUAGCAGCACCACAGCCCCUGGUGCCUCCCUCUCCCCCUGCAACACCUCUCCCUCUCGCAGAAGCUUGGCGAAGCCCUGCCGAGAUCCCCGCUACUUCCACCACCACGCCGUCGUGCUGCUGGAUCUCCAUCAACCUCUCCUUCCCCCUUGCUGGAUCAAGAAGGAGGAGACGUCGCUGCUCCGUACGUGUGUUGAACGCGGAGGUGUCGUCCGUUCGGCACUUGGUCAUCGGUUAUUUGGAUCACGGCGAGUACGACUCCAUCAACCCCGUUCAUUGGAACGCUUCCGCCCGCGAUCUACAAGGGUAUGUAGAUGCACUCCUUUCCCCUCGUUGCUAGUAUACUCCAUAGAUGGAUCUUGGUGAUGCGUAGGAAAUUUUAAAAUUCUGCUACGAUCCCCAACACCGAGUCACCGAAACACUUAACCCGGCUUAAAUUCAUCUCCUUAGCCAUUCGAAGACCAUGGAGUAGAGCUUCAUACUCAGCUGCAUUGUUAGUACAAGGGAACAUUAAACGGAGAACAUAACAAAACUUAUCACCUCGUGGGGAAGUUAAUACGACUCCAGCCCCCGAGCCCUCCAAUUGCCUGGACCCAUCAAAAUGAAUAGUCCAAUAAGUAUGAUCCGGCUUCUCUUCUGGCGCUUGUAACUCUGUCCAGUCAUUGAUGAAAUCCACCAACGCUUGGGACUUGAUUACCGUCCGAGGCAUAUAUUUUAACCCAUGAGGUCCAAGCUCAAUGGCCCACUUGGCAACCCGGCCAGUUGCUUCCCUGUUUUGGAUUAUAUCCCCCAAAGGAGCAGAACUGAUCACAGUGAUGGGAUGACCCAGAAAAUAUUCCUUAAGCUUCCGGCUCGCCAUAAAAACUCCAUACACCAGCUUCUGCCAAUGUGGGUACCUCUGCUUGGACUCAAUAAGCACCUCACUGAUAUAAUAAACCGGACGUUGAACCGGAUACUCAUUUCCGGCCUCCUUGCGCUCCACCACAAUAGCCACGCUAACAGCCCGGGCGUUAGCAGCCACAUAUAACAACAAGGGCUCCUUGUCAACCGGAGCAGCAAGGACAUGCGGCUCAGCUAGUUGUCGCUUUAGAUCUUCAAAUGCUUCAUUGGCGGCAUCACUCCAAAUGAAGUCAUCCGUCUUUUUCAGCAUCUGAUAUAAAGGGAUGGCCUUCUCUCCAAGGCGACUGAUGAACCGGCUUAAGGCUGCAAUCCGGCCUGCCAGGCGUUGAACAUCAUUGAUACACCUUGGUUUAGCUAAAGAAGUUAUAGCCUUGAUUUUCUCCGGAUUAGUUUCAAUGCCCCUGUUAGACACCAAAAAGCCCAAGAGCUUGCCUGCCGACACCCCAAAGACACAUUUGGCCGAAUUAAGCAUCAUUUUAUAAACCCGGAGGUUAUCAAAGGUCUCCUUCAAGUCAUCUAUCAAUGUCUCCUCCUUCCUGAAUUUCACCACAAUAUCAUCCACAUAGGCAUGAACAUUGCGGCCGAUCUGAUUAUGAAGACAAUUCUGCACACACGCUGAUAAGUCGCCUGGGCACUCUUGAGCCCAAAAGGCAUAGACACAUCACAGAAGGCUCCAAAGGGAGUUAUGAAAGCUGUCUUCUCCUGGUCCUUAACUGCCAUUUUGAUCUGAUGGUAACCAGAAUAAGCAUCCAGAAAACUCAAAUGCUCGCAACCCUCCGUAGCAUCAAUGAUUUGAUCAAUAUGAGGGAGGGCAAAAGGAUCCGCUGGACAAGCCUCGUUUAAAUCUGUGUAGUCCACACACAUACGCCAAGUGCCGUUCUUCUUAAGUACCAGCACCGGAUUAGCCAACCACUCAGGAUGAAAUACUUCAAUGAUAAACCCAGCUGCCAAGAACCUGGCUACCUCCUCACCAAUAGCCUUGCGUCUUUCUUCAUUGAACCGGCGGAGAAACUGUUUGACCGGUUUAAAUUAACUUGGGAUCAACAUUAAGAGUGUGCUCAGCGAGUUCCCUCGGUACACCUGGCAUGUCAGAAGGCUUCCACGCAAAGAUGUCCCGGUUCUCACGGAUGAACUUGAUGAGCGCGCUUUCCUAUUUCGGAUCCAAGUUAGCGCUGAUGCUAAACUGCUAGGAUGAAUCGCCAGGAACAAAAUCAACCAGCUUAGUCUCAUCAGCCGAUUUAAACUUCAAGGCCGGAUCAUGCUCUGUAGUUGGCUUCUUCAAGGAAGUCAUAUCUGCCGGAUCAACAUUGUCUUUAUAGAACUUCAACUCCUCUGUUGCACAAACCGACUCAGCAUAAGCUGCAUCACCAUCUUCACAUUCCAAAGUGAUCUUAUGACUCCCAUGUACCGUGAUGGUCCCCUUAUGACCUGGCAUCUUGAGCUGCAUAUAGACAUAACAGGGCCUAGCCAUGAACUUAGCAUAAGCCGGCCGACCAAAUAGGGCAUGAUACGGGCUCUUGAUUUUCACCACUUCAAAAGUCAAUAUCUCUGAUCUUGAAUCAUGCUCAUCUCCAAAAGCAACCUCCAGAGCUAUCUUACCAACUGGAUACGCCGAUUUACCAGGCACCACACCAUGAAGACCGUGUUGGACGGUUUAAGAUUUUUAUCUAUUAACCCCAUGCGACGGAAGGUUUCAUAAUAAAGGAUAUUGAUACUACUCCCUCCAUCCAUGAGUAAUUUGGUGAACUUAUAGCCUCCAACCUGUGGUGCCACCACCAAUGCCAGAUGACCCGGAUUAUCAACCCGGGGCGGAUGAUCCUCUCGACUCCACACGAUGGGUUGUUCAGACCAGCGCAAGUAACGGGGCACCGCCGGUUCAACGGAGUUCACUACCCUUUUGUGUAGCUUCUGAUCACGUUUGCAUAGGCUCGUGGUGAAGACAUGGUACUGCCCGCUAUUCAGUUGCUUCGGGUUGCUCUGGUAACCCGACUGCUGCUGCUGUUGCUGAUUUCCCUGAUGAUUAUAACCACCUUGGUUGCCCUGACUGCCUUGAUUGCCAUGUCCGCCUUGACUACCUUGAAAUCCUGAACCGGAACUACCUCCACCAUAACCCGGCCCAUGAUAUCCGGGGCCUGAACCGCCGGCCGGUCCAUGAUCAUACCAAAAAAAUCUGAAUUUUUGAACUCCCGCAUAAUAUAACAAUCCUUCCACAGGUGCGUGGCCGGUUUGUCCCGACCCGUGCUUUGGGCAAGGUUGGUUUAACAGGUAAGACAGUCGCUCGGGAUUGGGACUCGAUGCUCCACCACGCGGGGGCGGUUUACCCUUACGACGCUGACCGUUAUCCUGCGUGUUGGUAUUAGCCACAAAAUCUAAACUAUUAGCCGCUUUACGCUUACCGCUGUUUCCAUGACCUGCCGGGUUAUGCUGCUGCCCUUUCGUGUUGCCGCUCUUCUUUCCCUUCCCUGUCUUGUCAUCAUCAAACUCGGGGUCCUUGGAACUAUGCUUGCUAAUUAUACUUUUAAGGAUGGAGUAUGAUACGUCUCCAAUGUAUCUAUAAAUUUUGAUUGUUCCAUGUUGUUAUAUUAUCAAUCUGGGAUGUUUUAUAAUCAUUUUAUAGUCAUUUUUUGGUACUAACCUAUUGACAUAGUGCCAAGUGCAAGUUGAUGUUUUCUGCAUGUUUUUUACAUCGCAGGAAACCAAUACCAAAUGGAGUCCAAACACAGCAAAACUUUUUGGAGAUUUUUUUGGACCAGAAGACAUCCAGUGGGCCGAAGAAGCACCUGGGGGUGCUCCGAGGGGAGCACAACCCACCAGAGCGCGCCUGGGGGCCCAGGCGCGCCCAGGUGGGUUGUGCCCACCUCGGGUGCCCCCCGAACCGCCUCUUUGCUCUAUAAAUACCCCAAUAUUCCACAAACCCUAGGGGAGUCGACGAAAAUCAAUUCCAGCCGCCGCAGAGUCCAGAACCACCAGAUCCAAUCUAGACACCAACACGGAGGGGUUCGGCACUUCCAUUGAUGCCUCUCCGAUGAUGCGUGAGUAGUUCUUUGUAGACCUACGGAUCCAUAGUUAGUAGCUAGAUGGCUUCCUCUCUCUCUUUUGAUUAUCAAUACAAUAGUCUCUUGGAGAUCCAUAUGAUGUAACUCUUUUUGCGGUGUGUUUGUUCGGAUCAGAUGAACUUUGAGUUUAUGAUCAGAUCUAUCUUUUUAUCCAUGAAAGUUAUUUGAGUCUUCUUUGAUCUAUUAUAUGCAUGAUUUCUUAUAGCCUCGUAUUUCUUCUCCGAUAUUUGGGUUUUGUUUGGCCAACUAGAUCUAUUUAUCUUGCAAUGGGAAGAGGUGCUUUGUAGUGGGUUCGAUCUUAUGGUGCUUGAUCGCAGUGACAGAAGGGGAUCCGACACGUAUGUAUCAUUGCUACUAAGGAUAAAACGAUGGGGUAUAUUUCUACAUAAAUAGAUCUUGUCUACAUCAUGUCAUCGUUCUUAUUGCAUUACUCCAUUUCUCCAUGAACUUAAUACACUAGAUGCAUGCUGGAUAGCGGUCGAUGUGUGGAGUAAUAGUAGUAGAUGCAGGCAGGAGUUGGUCUACUAAUCUUGGACGUGAUGCCUAUAUAAUGAUCAUUGCCUGUAUAUCGUCAUGAUUAUUUAAAGUUCUAUCAAUUGCCCAACAGUAAUUUGUUCACCCACCGUUGUUAUUUUUCUCGAGAGAAGCCACCAGUGAAACCUACGGCCCCCGGGUCUCUUCUUUAAUAUAUUUGCCUUUGCGAUCUAUUUUCCUUUGCUUUUAUUUUUAUAUCUAUUAAACCAAAAAUACAAAAAUACCUUGCUGCACUUUAUUUUAUUUGGCGUUCGAUCUAUCAAUAUUUAUUACUCUCUCACGUCCGUUUGCCUAUCUCUAGGCGCCGUUACCCGAAAGGGAUUGACAACCCCUUUUACACGUCGGGUUGCGAGUAUUUGUUAUUUGUGUGCAGGUGUUGUUUACAUUGUGUUGCUUGGUUUUCCUACUGGUUCGAUAACCUUGGUCUCAUCACUAAGUGUCGUGGUUUUGUCAUGGCAGAUGUCCUAGUGAGAGGACUUAGUCAUGGAUCCAUCGCGACGGGUUAGCUUAAAGGGGUUAAAGCGGACAAAGGACGCAGAGAGUUUUAUACUGGUUCGGCCCCUUGCGGUGAAGGUAAAGGCCUAAUCCAGUUGUUGUGGAAUUGCUAGGGUUUUGACGACCAAGGAGCGAACCCGCUAUGCCUGGCUCUCAAGUUGUUGUUUCUUGUCCCUAAAUCGCCGCCGGGUCGUCCCUUUAUAUACACAGGUUGACGCCCGGCGGUUUACAGAAUCCCGAGCCGGCUCAUAAACGUGUCCGGCUCGGUUUCUACCUUUCUUAUCUUACAACACAAGUUACAUAUGAUAUGGCGGUUUAUGUCUACAGGCCAUAACCCGCCUCUGGGCCCUGGGCCUUUGUAAAGCGCCACACUCCUUGUCUUCAUGGGCUUCAAAUAUAAAUAACUCAUUAUGGGGAUAACCCGGCCUCUCCUGGCCAGUUUAUACCCAGUAGUAAUAUCCCCAACACUAAGGGAAAUGCCUACCGCUGUUGUGAUGCAUCAUCCCUUCCUCUUUGGGGAAAUACCGACGUAGCUUCAAGCCGCAUCAGAGUACCUAAAAAACUUGGAGAUCCGGGAAUACCAACUAUACCUUGCUCCAUCACAAAGAACUGUGUGAAACUGCUUUAUGUGAUUUAGGAGUUGAUGCUAGUGUUAUGCCUUUCUCUUUAUAUAAAAGACUUGAUUUGAAUAAAAUCACACCUACUGAAAUAUCUUUGCAAAUGGUUGACAAAUCAACUGACAUACCUAUCGGUAUUUGUGAGGAUGUGCCCGUUGUUGUUGCUAAUGUUACUAUUUUGACUGACUUUGUUAUACUUGAGAUGCCCGAGGACGACAACAUGUCGAUUAUCCUUAGUAGACCCUUCUUGAACACUGCAGGGGCUAUUAUUGAUUGCAAUAAAAGCAAGGUCACUUUUCAUAUCAAUGGUAAUGAGCAUACGGUGCACUUUCCGAAGAAACAAUUCAAAGUGAAUGGUAUUAUUGUUAUUGAAAAAUCUUCGACAAUCACUAUUGCAAGUUUUCACCUACCUCUACCUACUGUCAAAAAGAAAUAUGAAAUGCUUAUUGUCGGGGACAUUCAUAUCCCCGUUGAGGUAACUUAGUGAUUUACGAAAGUUCUUCGGUUUCAUGCUAAUCAAAAGUGGUUGUUAAUAAGACUUGAUCAACCUUAUUAAUGGAUCAUUUUUGAGAGGUAUGAAGUUGAUGAAUUUAGUAAGCACUACCUUCUGUUCCUACCUUUUGUUUACUGUUUUUAUUAGUUAAAUAAAAUAAAAUGCCAUGUUUUGUCUGUUUCCUGAAUUUCCCGUGCAAUAAAAAUGACCAAAAAAUAAAAGUUCUCAGAAUGCUCUGAAAAUUUAAUACAAUUUUUUCUGAAUAUUUAAGAAUUUCUAGUGCAAAUAAUAUCAGAGGGAGGUGCACCAGGUGGGCACAACCCACCUGGGCGCGCCAGGACCCCCAGGCGCGCCCUGGUGGGUUGUGGUCCCCACGUGGCCCCCCUCACUUAUCCCUUUACACCACAUCAUCAGCUACCUCCAGAAAAAAUUCACCUUUGCUCUCUCUCUCUCUCUCUCUCUCUCUCGUGUUCUUGCUCUCAAACCCGCGGAUUUUGAUCUCUUUGCUCGAAGCCCCGUUUCAGAAACUGUUUUGGGGGAUUGUUGCUUGGUAUGUGACCCCACCGUUUGUCCAAUUAUUUUUGUUUUAGUGGUUUAUAUUUUGAAUAAUUAGCUACUCUUGGUGCUGUCGUAGAUGAGCUUGCAUGUUGAAUUCUUAGAGUCCUAAGUAGUUUGAAUGCUUGCUAUGGCCUCUAUGCAUCCCUAUGAGUAGUUGCUAUCAAUCUUGUGAAGUUUUGUUAAGAAAAAAUUGUGGACUAAAAAAUUUCAGAAUCUUUGUUCAUAGGAAAGGAUGAAUAUCUUUAGGAAAUUUUCUUCCAAGAAGAACUCCAAGGGAGUUAUUGGGGAGUCAUCUGAUAGUGAUCUCCACCCCCGGAGAUUGGCGGAGGUACGGCCAUGCGAAUGGCCGCAUACCCCGUUCAUGGAAGAGGCUGGAAUCCUUCAAGAGUUUGCACAAUAUGCUACUAAUGCCGGCCUCACCGACUUCAUCGCAGCUGAAGUGAACAGUAUCAUCUCCUCACAAACAUCUUUGUUCAAAGUUUUAAUUACCUUCCUGGGAAUAAUCCCCCUGAAGUGCAGUUUAAUUUAUAUGCUGAACCCCAUCAGAUGCCACUUACUGAAUUUUGUGAAAUAUGCUUGCUUCCUUCUGAUGGUAGUUUAGCAGAGCCAAGACCCGCAGAGUUUGAAAGCUUUUAUUGUACUCGGACAGUGGGUGAUGAGAGAGGGGUGUUGAGUAUAACUGCCGCUGGCUUGCAUUUCCCCGCCGUUCAUUAUUUUGCUCUUUUCAUUUCACAAUGCUUGCUCGCUAGAGAGAAGGUGGGUGCACUGAGUUCACCAGACCUUACUGUUUUACGUCAUGCACUAGAGGGCGACAACACUUAUAGCUUGGGAGCUAUUGUGGCACGUCGCCUCCACAUUAAUAAGUCCAAGGGUAAAAUACAUGGUGGUAUUUUCGCUACUCGCUUGGCGGCUCGCUUUAAUGUUGAGAUACGCCUUCGUGAUUAUCCUUUGACCAAGGUCUACCUUGAUCGCGCAGCUAUGGAACACCACCAUUUUAUUGCACGAGAUUUCCCUAACAUUCCUAUUCCGUAUAACUUGGUUUUUAGUGUGAGAGCACUCGUGAUAUUAUCCCAUUGCCUGCACCUGCUUUGUUUGAUCCUGUUGCCAGGGGCGGAUAUAGGAUUAUGCCUGCAGAUACCAUCGCCUACCGGAACGACCAGGCUGCAGCAGAGGAGGAGCCUCAGCAGUGGGAUCCAUGGAUGCCCGCUCCUCAGCACCCCGACUACUAUCCAGGCUACUGAUCGAUUACCAAGUUAGGCCAAAAGCCUAAGCUUGGGGGGGGGGGUACGUGUUUCUCACCGACAUUACAUUCAUGUCCACAAAUUCCAUUCCAGUUGUCGGUGUCCAUACUUUUUCAUUAUAUUAUCUAUGCUUUUAUUUUCUCGCUUUCUUCUUGUGUCUUUGAAAAACCUUAGAAAAACUAAAAAAUUUAGUUGUAGUUAGUUUACUUUCGAUGCAUGCUUAGUUGUAAUAUUAAGAAGAAAACCCAAAAAGAUCUCCUUGUUCUUCUUUUGCUUGUUGGGAGCUUUCCUGUGUAAAUAGUUUUUCUCGUUUUUGCUUUCCCUUUAUUUGCUUGUUCUAGAAAACCAAAAACUCCAAAAAUAUUUCGGUGUGUUUCUCUUAGUGUCUUUUUUUAUUCGAGUCGUACCAAGGAGAAGACCACAAUGAAAAUGUUGAGUGGCUCUCAUUUGCAUAAUUGUUGAUCUAACAAAGAGCCCAUUUUACCUUGUCUUCUCCUGUUCAAUAAAUUGUUUACAGAUUCCAGCUUAGUCCACGAGACUCUUGCAUUAUUAUUAUUUUCAUAUCGUUCGGUCAUGCAAGUGAAAGGCAAUAAUGACGAUAUUCGAUGAACUGGCCGUGGCAGAGAGAAACGAGUAGGAACUCGACUUGUUCUGUUUUUGUAAAUAUGUUUAACCUAGUAUCCAUGAUUCAGCCCAUUAUGAUUAAACAUGUUUGCAGUGACAAUUAGAGAUUAUAGUCUCUCAUGCCAUGCAUAAGUAGCUAGGAGUGGAUAAUGAUUUAUCUUGGAUAUCAACAUUGCGUUAAAAUGAUUGUGAUGUAGUAUGAUGAUAUGGUAUCCUCCUCUGAAUGUUCGAGUGGCUUGACUUGCACAUGUUCAUGCAUGUAGUUGAAUCAAAACCAACAUAGCCUCUAUGAUAUUUAUGUUCAUGGUGUUCAUAUCCUACUCAUGCUAGUGUCCAAUGUUACUUAUGCAUAAUGCAUGUUCAUGACCGUUGUUGCUCUCUAGCUGGCCGCUUCUCAACCUAUUUGCUACCCUUCGCCUGUACUAAGUGGGAAUUCUGCUUGUACAUCCCAAACCUUGAACCAAGUUAUUCCAGAUGAGUCCACCAUACCUACCUACAUGCAGUAUUACCCUGCCGUCCUAAGUAAAUUUGCAUGUGCCACCUAUAAAAAAUUCAAAUAAAUAUCCUUUUUGUGUGCCUGGAUCGUUCAUGGAACGACAGGAGGUGGUCGGUAUCUUCCAUGCUAAGCGGGUUAUUCUCAGGUCGAGUGUUUAUUCACUUGCCAUCGCACGAGAAAAGGGAGGUAUAUGGAUUCCCAGUCCCAAACUCAAAAAUGCAAAUAAUUAAACAAAACUCCCCGGGACUGUUGUUGGUAUAUAUGGACGGCACCCGUUGUUUUGGACAAGCCGUGGAGUGUGAUUGAUGGUGGAGGGGGAGUAAACCUUUACUUUUAUUGCUUGGGAACCGCCACUAGCGUUCUUAGCAUGGGAGAUAUUGAUAACUGAUAGUCGUGAAGUAAAUGAGAAGGGUGCAUGUCUCAAAAUAUUAUUUACCACUGUUUUAAAAACUUGAGCUCUUGCACCUCUGCAAAUCACUGCUUCCCUCUGUGAAGGGACUAUCUAUUUACUUUUAUGUUGUGUCAUCACCCUUUAAAAUAGGCGCCAGAACCUGAGAGCACUGCUGUCAUGCUGAUGCAUUGUGUGUAGCUAAUGUUGGGUGCAUCAUGACUGGAUCUUUUCUACCAUGAAUUACAAUGUUUAGUCGCUGCUUGAACUUUGGAGGUGCUCUGCAUUUAUGUUUUGCGGUCUAAGAAAGGGCUAGCGAGAUACUACUAUUGUCAUACUAUAUCAUGGUUGUUUUGAUAAUGUGUUGCCGUUUGAGAUAUCUUAUUAUUGCUCGCCAGCUGAUUACGUCAUUGAUAUGAGUUAAUAUAAUCUUUAAGAGUUAUUGUCGGUAUGGUUAGUUAUAAUGUUGGCUGAAAAUCUGGGUGUCGUUUAAGCUUAUUUAUGCAAACAAGAGCAAACGAGUUCAUAAAAGUUUUUCUUUUUCACUUUCAGUUUAUCAACUAAAUUGCUUGAGGACAAGCAAAGGUUUAAGCUUGGGGGAGUUGAUACGUCUCCAACGUAUCUACUUUUCCUAACGCUUUUCCUCUUGUUUUGGACUCUAAUUUGCAUGAUUUGAAUGAAACUAACCCCGUACUGGCGCUGUUUUCAGCAGAACUACCAUGGUGUUGUUUUUGUGCAGAAAUAAAAGUUCUCGGAAUGGAACGAAACUUUGCGAGGAUUUUUUAUACAAUAAAAGAGAAUUUCUGGAGCCAAGAGCCACCGGAGGGGGGCACCUAGGUGGGCACAACCCACCAGGGCGCGCCAGCCCUCCCAGGCGCGCCCAGGUGGGUUGUCCCCACCUGGUGGCCCCACAGACCCUCAAACCGACGCUAAAUAUCCUAUUUUUCUAGAAAAAAAUCAGGGAGAAAGAAUUAUCGCGAUCCAUGAGACGGAGCCGCCAUCACCUCAUGUUCUUCAUCAGGAGGCCAGAUCUGGAGUCUGUUUGGGGCUCCGGAGAGGGGGGUCUUCGUUCUUCGUCAUCACCAACCCUUCUCCAUCGCCAAUUCCAUGAUGCUCCCCACUGAGAGUGAGUAAUUCCUUCGUAGGCUCGCUGGUCGGUGUGGAGUUGGAUGAGAUUCAUCAUGUAAUCGAGUUAGUUUUGUUAGGGCUUGAUCCCUAGUAUCCACUAUGUUCUGAGAUUGAUGUUGCUAUGACUUUGCCAUGCUUAAUGCUUGUCACUUUGAGCCCGGGUGCCAUGAUUUCAUAUCUGAACCGUUUAUGUUAUCACCAUUAUAUCCAUGUUCUAGAUCCGAUCUUGCAGGUUAUAGUCACCUACUACGUGAUCCUGCAACCCCGGAGUGACAAUAGUCGGGACCACUCCCGGUGAUGAACGUAGUUUGAGGAGUUCAUGUAUUCACCGUGUGUCAAUGAUUUGUUCCGGUUCUCUAUUAAAAGGAGGCCUUAAUAUCCCUUAGUUUCCAAUAUGGACCCCGCUGCCACGGAAGGGCAGGACAAAAGAUGUCAUGCAAGUUCUUUCCAUAAGCAUGUAUGACUAUUUACGAAAUACAUGCCUAUAUUGUAUUUAUGAACUGGGGCUAGUGUCGUAUCGCCCUAGGUUAUGACUAUCACAUGAUGAAUAUCAUCGAACAAAUUACUGAUCCAAUGCCUACGAAUUUAUCUUAUAUUGUUUUUGCUAAGUUACUACUGCUGCUGUCACUGUUGCACUUGCUACAAAAUUACUGCUAUCACUGUUACCGUUACCAUUACUGUUGUCACUAUUAUCAAAUCUAUCAAACUACUUUGCUACUGAUCACUUUGAUGCAGAUAAUUAAUCUUCAGGUGUGGUUGAAUUGACAACUCUGUUGCUAAUACUUACAAAUAUUCUUUGGCUCCCCUUUUGUCGAAUCUAUAAAUUUGGUUUGAAUACUCUACCCUCGAAAACUAUUGUGAUCCCCUAUACUUGUGGGUUAUCAGUUAUAACAUAGGGUGACACAGAACUAGCUCCAGUUCAUCAAUAUAAUGCAGGCAUGUAUUUCGAAUAUAGUCACACGUGCUUAUGGAAAAGAACUUGCAUGACAUCUUUUGUCCUACCCUCCUGUGGCAGCGGGGUCCUAUUGGAAACUAAGGGAUAUUAAGGCCUCCUUUUAAUAGAGUACCGGACCAAAGCAUUAGCACUUAGUGAAUACAUGAACUCCUCAAACUACGAUCAUCACCGGGAGUGGUCCCGACUAUUGUCACUCCGGGGUUGCCGGAUCAUAACACGUAGUAGGUGACUAUUGACUUGCAAGAUAGGAUCAAGAACACAAAUAUAUUCAUGAAAACAUAAUAGGUUCAGAUCUGAAAUCAUGGCACACGGGCCCUAGUGACAAGCAUUAAGCAUAGCAAAGUCAUAGCAACAUCAAUCUUAGAACAUAGUGGAUACUAGGGAUCAAACCCUAACAAAACUAACUCGAUUACAUGGUAAAUCUCAUCCAACCCAUCACGGUCCAGCAAGCCUACGAUGGGAUUACUCACGCACGGCGGUGAGCAUCAUGAAAUUGGUGAUGGAGGAUGGUUGAUGAUGACGAUGGCGACGGAUUUCCCUCUCCGGAGCCCCGAACGGUCCCCAGAUCUGCCCUCCCAAGGAAGAACAGGGCUUGGCGGCGGCUCCGUAUCGUAAAACGCGAUGAAUCCUUCUCUCUGAUUUUUUUUCUCCCCGAACGUGAAUAUAUGGAGUUGGAGUUGAGGUCGGUGGAGGUCCAGGGGGCCCACAAAGUCGGAAUGCGCGCCCCCACCCUUGUGGCCAGGGUGUGGGCCCCUUUCUGUUGAUUCUUUCGCCAAUAUUUUUUAUAUUUUCCAGAAAUAAUCUCCGUUGAUUUUCAGGUCAUUCCGAGAACUUUUAUUUCUGCACAAAAAUAACACCAUGUCAAUUCUGCUGAAAACAGCGUCAGUCCGGGUUAGUUCCAUUCAAAUCAUACAAGUUAGAGUCCAAAACAAGGGCAAAAGAGUUUGGAAAAGUAGAUACGAUGGAGACGUAUCAUCGGUACUCUGGCGGAGAUCCUCCAUCCCCCACUGGAGCCCUCGCCGCGUCGCCGGCCAUCCACGUGAAAAAUCGACGACAAAUCUGGGUGGGAUCCAGAUCCACGGCCGCUGCCAUGCCCACCAUCGCGAGCAGCACCAACCAUGGGGUCGUCUGUUGCUGCCGCACGGCCAGGGAGCCCCCUAGCUAGCCUACGAUGUUGACCGCGAGUAGUAUUUAGGAGCGUGAGGAUAUCGACCAUGGAAUUAGGGUUCAGUUGCAGCCAAAGCAAUCACGAGCACAACUCCAAAGAAAUUUGGUCGCGACACAUUGAAAUAGUGCGGCGCACCACAAAGAGCGCAACAGUCGUUGCUCCGACUGUGACAUUUUUAAAGGUUUAUAGACGAAGGCAAACGGUCAACGACGCCUGCCAAAGGGAGAUACAAACUCUAGGAGGAACCCGAGAGGCCCAAAGAGCCUUGGCGAACCUGACCUUAGCCCACAUACCAGUUUUGUGUAAGUAGAUUUCGCCGUAAAUUUGCCCAGUGGCUCCAACACCCAGAUGAUCGAGUACUAGUUCGAAGAGAGAGAAACUUAUUGUAAGGACACAUGAAGAGAAUUGAAAUCACUUUGUUCCUCGGGUGGGUGAAAGAGAUCGAAGAAAACCCACUAGCUACCCCUGUAGCAAAAAUGUUGCAUGCCAUAGCCUCAGGAUGAGCCACAAUGUCAAACAAGCUCGGAUGUAAUGCGCAAAGAGGUUUGUUCGCAUUCCACACGGAGAGCCUAAAUUGGUGUCCUUACCGUCUCCGAUAGAGAAUUUCACGCCCAGAUUGAAACUUGCUUUACAUUUUUGGAUCCCAUUCCAAAUUUGCGAGCCUUUGUUACCAAAUGGAUUUAGAAAAUCUCCCAAAAGGACGAUGCUAUGCCACAAAGCAUUGUCUACGAGUAGAAGAAAGAUAUGCCUCAUGAACUUCCAUGACUUCAUGCAAUGUAGUAGCAGAUGCCAUGCCAUCACAAAGCUCUGUCCACACACUAUGAUACACCUGCUAAGAAAGAAGCAAGUUCAAGUUGAGACAGUCAUAGUUUCUUACAAUGAAAUGAGUCAAACCCAUCUCAACUCACUCGGUCCAUGACAUAUUGAUGAAAUGCAUCGACAAAAUGCUGGAGCUUCUGCCUUACUAUUAAGUGUUCUUUAAAAUUAUGCGUCGUGCUGCCUCUGCCUUGCCAAAGAAAAGGGUUGAUACAUCAGAGUGAAGCUCACACGCCGACAAGAUAGAGCAGAUCCAACUAUCCAACAUUAAACACUACGGGGAUUGCAAAAAAUAUGUAGCACGAGAUGAUUUGAUGCCAGCUUACCUUCGACAUCCACUUUCGGGUUUCUUACUUUGCACGCUUGACUAUCAGUAAGAAUCACAUGACCUGGUCCAACAAAAUGACGCAAACUUUAGCUUGCACAUGAUUUGCUUGCCAGUGUGAUCCACCUAACCAAGGAAAGAAAGCACAAACUCAUUAUACAGAUGGACUAACAAGAAAAUAGCAUGUAAGUAUAACUUUUUGGACAUACCUGUUUCUUUGUACAUUUAGAAAGCUGUUUCUUUGUACAUUUAGAAAGUCAUUCUUGUAUAAUACCCACCGGAUGAAGGGGUUUUUUCAAACACGUGCUCUGCAUAAACUUUAGAACUCUUGAUGCGAGUGUACUAUCUUUCUGACAAAGGUAAAAUCUCCGACAACAGGGCCUUUUUCUGAAGGGCAAUGGGGUUAUAGCCUCAUAGCUAAUGCAAAAACAUGAAGGACGAAAAUGAUACUUCUGAAGCAACUCUUACAUUUGCACAAGAAAGAAGAGUUGGAAAUGCAUAGAAGUUCCUCAAGGGUCCUUGUAUCAUCCUCUUGGCGAAUAUUUUCCAAAUCAUCAAACCAAGAACCGAACUUAAAAUCAGUCCCACCUACUCUGGAAAAAGAUUGUCAGGUUGCGUAUCGCCACAGGUGCUAGUUCCAGCAGAUUGGCGAUCGGCAUAUAUAGCUCUCCGCAUGUUAUAAUCAUUCAGUGGAGGAAGGUCAAAAGUUGUAGAGAUAUUCAAAUCGCUCCAAGAAUUUGGAUUCUUCCGCAGCACAUCUCCGCAAAAGCACUGAUGGCUGGAUUUUUCAUAGCAAAAUUGGACUGAAAGGCAUUUCUACUGCAUCGGAAGAUACAUGUUGCAGGUACCCACGAACAAAUAUUGGGUCCUUCGUAACAUCAUCUCCGCGGCCCGGAUUUGUACCCUCCGGUUGUGGAUGCUAUCACACCGUGGUUUCCUCCAAUCGUUGGUCGUGCUGCUGAGCGCAACAGACCGGCCCAAGGAAACCUGGCGGGCGACCGUCGCAGGGGCUGCACCACGACAGUACUGUCCUCGCUGGUCGACGGCCACCCACCGGUCCACGCAUUCAGUCUGCCGGCCGCACCGCACUGUCCAUCCCGGCGAGCCGUUGGAGUCGUUGGACCUUCCCAACCCUCCUCUCCGCUCUCUCCCGCCUGCUUUCUCAAAGAUAUAAAAAAGAGCGCGCGAAACUUCACACGUGCCCCGCCGACGUGUGGGCCAAGAAGGUACGCGCCCCACGUGGUAGCCCCCGCCCCCGCCCCCGCGCCCCGCAGAAGCCAGCCAGAGAGAGGGAGGGAGCCCCAAACCCCAACGUCUCGAGUCCCUCCCAUGAGUGACGCGCCGGGCCCACCCCGGGACAGCGCCCCGAAAAGCAGCGGAACAAACGAAAAGUUAGAAAAGCAGGUGACUCGGCACGGUGGAAAAAGCCCACCCCAUCCCCCGAAGUUUCCAGGUAUUUACGUUUCACCUUACCGCCUAUGGCCAGGCCGGGCCGCGCCCCAUGCCGGAGAGGACAAACACAAACACGGCACGCGCGGGGCAGGGCCGGCGCAGGGCACGCACCACUGACAACGGUCCACACCCCCCCAUGAGGCCAUCCAUCGCCCGUCCGUGUCCACCAACCCACUGACGUGCGGGGCAGGGGUCAAGCGUGGAUCGGCGUGUCAGCGGGCCGGAGCGCGCGGGUGGUGGUGGACCGGACGUUAAACCCCCACCGGCACCGAGCCCCUCGCCCGCUCCGCUCGCUCGCUGCCGCGCCUCGGGCCGGGCACCAACACCGCAACCAACAAACUACACCAGUAUUCCUAGAUCCACUCGCCCUGCCGCGCCUGCCUGCUGCUGGCAAUGCGGUGAGGAGUGAGGAGUGGAGACCGGGGACGACGACGAGAUGGGGUGCGCGCAGUCGCGGAUCGAGAACGAGGAGGCGGUGGCGCGAUGCAAGGAGCGCCGCCAGCACAUGAAGGCGGCCGUGGCGGCGCGCAACGCCUUCGCCGCCGCGCACUCCGCCUACGCCUUCUCGCUGCGGGACACGGGCGCCGCGCUCUCCGAGUUCGCGCACGGGGAGGGGGUGCCGCCGCCGCCGCCCCCGCCCGCCGCGGAGCUGUCCAAGGCAGGCAGGCUCUCGGCAGGCGGGACCGGCGCGCCCAAGUCGGGGGUCGCGGCCGCGACUUCCGCGGACACGGCGGUGGAGGAGGUAAUGCCGCCGCCGCCGCCCCUCGACUCGCUGCCCCCGCCCCCGCCGCCGCUGCCGGAGUUCUCGCCCUCCCCGGCGAAGAUCCACCGCUCGAUGAGCAUGCCCAUGGCGCCCAAGGCCGUGGCGGGGGGGAGGGGCCCCGCCAUGCUCCACAGCGACUCCAUUAGGGAGGAGGACGAUGAGGCGGACAUGGAGGAGGAGGAAGACGAGGAGGACGAUGCCCGUCUCGAUGACCGCCGCCGGAGGCUGCGCCAUCGCCAGCAGGCGCCGCCCGUAUCGCCGCCGCCUCCGGAGACGCCGGUGACCCCCCAGCCACCGCCGCCGCCUCCCCCGCCGCCGCCCCCGCCCCCUCUUGACCCCAAGACCGGGGUUGACACGUGGGAUUACUUCUUCUCCAUGGAAGAGGGGAUGGCGUCUAUUGCCACCGAGGACGAGGAGAUCAUCCCGGAGCCGGAGGACGAGAAGUACGUUCCUGCCUCGCCACCGCGCCCUCCCUCCUCGCCCCCUCCACAAGCGGUUGUGCCGCCACGGGAGGAGUAUGAGGAGGAGGAGCCGCGCACGCCGGAGAUGGUCACACCGCCUCCGUCGCUUCCGCCAAAGGCUCCUGGACAGUCCAAGAAGAAGAAGGGCAAGGGCAAGGGGAAGGGGAAGAAUAAGUCUGUGCACCACCAGCACACUGAGUCCGCGCCGCCGGUCACGGUGGUCGGUGGCUGGGGGAAGGCGGGGAAGGUUGUCCCCGCCGAGGUGCCACGCGUAGACCUGCUGCAGGUGCUUGCGGAGAUCGAUGAUAGGUUCUUGAAGGCGUCAGAGAGCGCCGGGGAGGUUUCCAAGGCGCUGGAGGCGAACAGGAUGCACUACCAUUCCAAUUUCGCCGACACUAGAGGUCAGUAGCUUGAUUCUCCUCCCUAGUUGCAAUUUUGGAUGUUUUAGACUUAAGUGGUUGGCUUUGUGCUGCUUGUUGUUUGAUCAUAUUUUGUGAAGGCGAUAGUGAUGUGAUAGGAUUCUUUGAUGGUGAGAGAGGUCCAAAACAGGUGCUGGUUGUGGGGUUGCUAGAGAAGUAGAAUGAGCUGUCCUUGUCCACAUGCCGAUGCACGGGAUGUUCUUGUAGCUGCUAGCAAGCUAUUGGUAUAAGAGUUCAUUUUGAAAUGGAAAACGUGGUUCUCGGGUUCAAUUAUUGGUUUGCAUGGCAUGAUUGUUUGCUUUGACUAUAAGUGAACAGAUAUAUUGAUAGAACAUUGCUACGCAUAAGACAAUUGGUGUACAUUUUGGUACGACACCCCAAAUUGCAUCGUCUACACAGGAGGCCAAAUUGGCAACCGUGGCCGGACCGUACAACAAAAUGUCGUAUGUGAAACACUUUUGUGUCUUUAUGAAUCAUGCUUAUGUGUCUCUAAUGCGCGCAUUGGAUCACAUUUCUAUUUCAUAUGAGAAUUAGCAUCUACUUCCUCUGUUCCUUGAACUGCCAAAAUGUCUUAUAAUAUUUAGGAACGGAGGGAGUAAGUGCUAUUCUUGGAACCUGUUCAAUUUAAAAUUUGAAGUGUUAUGAAUAUAAAUGUUGCAUUUUUGGUUAGUAUCAGAUGUGUAUCUUAUGGAAAAUGUGCUGACAGUAACAAAAAUGGUAUAUGGUCAAGUGAAGAAAUUGACAACAGAGGAGCCAACGAGAGUGAUGUAUGGGAUCUGAAACUUUUUCUUGUUCAAUGCUCAGGAGAGUCUUGUCUUUGUCUUGUCUUGAUCUAACUUCAGUUCAUAUCCAGCAGACCAGCACCAUCUAUGUUUGAAAUAAUGAAUAUGAGGUGAAAAAUUGCAGAUUCAUUAUCAUGGAAGAAUCUACGGCAUUACAACCAUAAAAGUAAAAGUAGGGACAAAGUUAUCAUCUAGUUUUAUGCUUGACAACUCAAAUUUAUAUGGACUUGCUAUUUUAAUCGAGCAUGGUAAAAAUUUAUUACACACCCUGUUAGCAAUUUAGCAGGCAAUCAUUCAGAAUUAAGCACUAUUGGUUUGAACUUGACAUUCCAAAUGCACAUGUUAUUAUGUUAAUGUUGUAUAUUUCCUUACGAAUCAAGUUAGGUCCCCAAUGUUUGAUAGGCACCAGUAGGUUUGCCCUCUUUUGGCUUCAAAGAGUUGGGCAGACGAAUUUUUUCUCUUUGAGGUCCUGUUGAUGCUACUCCCUCCGUUCCAGAAUAUAAGUUGCAUCAAUUUUCGUGAAAGUUAACAUAUUUACGUUUGGCGAAGAUUAUAUAAUAAAAUAUCAACAUCUACAAUACAAAAUAAAUAAAAUAUGGAAAAACUUUUCAUGAUGUUGAUACAAAUUUGGUAUUGUAGAUAUUGAUACUUUUUUCUGAAAACUUGGUCAAUCAUGCACAGGCUUGACUUUUGAAAAAACUAAUACACCUUAUAUUCUGGAACGGAGAGAGCAUUAUCUUACCAAUUCUGCCUUCUGUUACAUUAGGAACACAACAUUGGUUCAUGUUAGUUCCUUAUUCCCCCCUUUACAUCUAAACUUACAUCAGCUUGUAUAUGAGAGAUCCUAACCUAGCUGUUACUUAUUGUAUGUUUUGUUGUAAGAGGUUGUCUUUGUGUAUCCUCCUGUUCAAUUGUUCAUGCAUUCCCAGGCCAAAACUAUAUAUGUAAACAAACAUGAAAAUUCUUAAAAGAGCUAGAGAUUGUGGAUACACUAGCUGGAUGCUCAUGUAUUGCUAAGGUAAAUAAUAUCAUUUGGGUUAGCCUUUUCCUCCGUGCUCAAUAGGGCUCUGCCCCAGCCCGCGUCGUGCCCUUGCUGCCACACUCAACCAGACUUACUGUCCUGACAUACAAAUUGUGUCCCAUUGGACUGUGUUGGACUUACUCGAGAGCGACAAACAGAAUUGGCCUGGUUGUCUGCUGCUGCCUGCUGCCUUGUACGAUGGUGGUGAUUGGUGGAAAGUGAGAGGCUGUGGAAGGGGAGAGAAUUCCUUAUUUGACCCUUUCUUAAAAUAUACUUCCCUUUUUGGCCCUACAAAAUUAUUUCUUCCCUUUUUGACACCUAAACUUCAUUUUAUUCCCUUAAUGACAUUUCCAUCACUUUUGGCCACUAACACAGUCAGGUGCAACCCAAAAAGUCUUUCUUACCCCUGCUUUAGCUCACAGGCAAGAAGAAGAAGAAACCACAUGACCGAACUUCUCUCCCUAUUUCCCACCCCGGGUCGAUGCUGCUGCUGCUCAUGGCGGGCCGGAGGGUGACGGAUCGUCGACCUCGGCAUCCAUGGAACGGCGUGUGCCCAUGAGCGCGUUCCAGUGCUGCUCGCCGGCCGCGGUCGUUUUUGUUGGUGUUAAACAUGACAGUAGCAUCCCAUACAUGUGCGUGUAUGUAUGUGUCCGUAUAGGACUGGUGUCACUACAUCACGGUAGCUAAAAGAAGGCAUAGGAGUUGUGUAGUGUGCAACUCGCCGGGCUACGUAGCUAGCUGUGCUAGCUUUGAUCGAUCAAAACGGAUGGAGCCAGCCAGGCUUAGGUAAGUGUGACUGCUGCGACGCCAGUGGUUGGCAGCCGUGGCGUUGGCAUCUGCAGCCGUGACUCCCGGCCGCUCUCGUCGUCCUCGUUUGCGUGCCAUGCGCGUGGUGUAUAGCCUACUUGUUUGGAGGAUUUGUUAUGUGUACUGUAGUUUUAAAAGUGUGUUAGUUAGAAGAUUUAGGAGUAUGUGUCAGAGUACUUUGAACGUGAUAAAUUGUACUUAUCAUAGAUAUGAUAAUGUAAGUCGUGCAGAUGUUUUCUACAUCUUUUGUACGCACGGAUCAGUUUAGCUAAGGGAAUUUUUUUAUUGAAGUGCAUAUAUGCAAAACGUUAGUGAACAUAUUUCAUAAAAUCAGUGAUUGCUUUUUUACUUACAUAUCCUGGACAGUCACAUAGUGCACUAGGGGCAAAAAGGUCUUUUCACCUCACACUUCACGUUGUUAGUGGCUAAAGGAGACGGAAAUGUCAUUGAGGGAACAAAAUAAAGUUUAAGUGUCAAAAAGGUAAGGAAAUUUAAUUUUGGGCCAAAAAGGGAAGCAUAUUUAAGAAAGGGCCAAAUAAGGAAUUCUCUCGUGGAAGGGACAUGGGGAUCCAUGUAAAACAAUUCGUGGGAGGGGUGCCGAGGAGUUGCUGACCUUAGAAUAAAGAUUAGUCAAAGUUAAUCGAUUGGUUGGAGAGGUGGUUUUUGAUCUGCUUCGAGGAGAGACAUUCAAGCACUCACCAGAUGAGUUCACCAAAAUUUUGAAUGUAAUUUGGCCAAAGCGAAGAGAACAAAGAGGAAAAAGAGCCAAAAUAGAGCACUACUGUCGCUAGACUAGACUAGAUGGCAAUGUUAUGUAAGUUUCAAAAUAUUACUGGUUAGUAUCAUGGGCCAAGCACUCGUUUCUGUAACACGCUGAUUAAUUUCUGAAGUGCAAGUGAUGAGACUAGUUAAACCAUUUCAAUGUCAUGCAGAGAAUUUCGUCAGUUGAUUACUUGAUUAGUAAUAACACUAUUAGCCCCGUCCAGUCUUGGUACAUCAUGUGCUUGGUUACUUUGGCCAUUGGAAGUCAUUUUAAUGUGACAUAGUUUUCUGCAAUAUCUAGUCUGCAGUUCUUUAAGGAGGUGAGUGUAAAAUAACUAUUUCUUCAACUUUCUUUUAAUCAAGACUACUAUGUUUGACAGGGCAUAUUGAUCAUUCUGCGAGAGUUAUGAAAAUAAUAACAUGGAAUAGAUCCUUCAGAAGCAUGCAAAAUGGUGAUGAUGGGAAGGAUGAAUUUGAAAAUGAUGAAGAGGAGACGCUGGCAACUGUCAUAGACAAAAUUUUAGCCUGGGAGAAAAAGCUGUAUGACGAAGUGAAGGUGACGUUUUUUUGAUUAUUACUAAUUUGAACUUCUAUGUUCUGAAGUAGUUUUUAAUUAAGUUUAUGAUGAUUUACUGAAACAACCAAUGUUGGCUAAGAUGAUUCUUCUAGCCUUCUUUCUGAAGUACAAAAGAGUUGUAGAGACAAAAAAUCUGCCAGCUUAUACAUCAAAUAAUACCUAUCAAUCCACAUCAACCACAUGCAGAAUUCUGUCUGGUCACGUCCCCAGAAGUAUUCGGUAAUUUUUCUUGAGGAAAGCUAUUCUGAUUUGUAUGCUCUUUAUUAGGGUAGAAAAGAUAUUGAUGGGUGGCAUAUGCCUCAAAUGUCAUAUAUUUAUUCUACGUGCUCCCACUUACAUGGUGAUUGCGAUGGCACCGAGCAUGCUGCAUCUCUUCCAUUCUCCACCCCCUCGCCCCAUGCUGUGUCAUGCCAUGCAUCCCCUCCCCGGUUUCUUUAUCAUGGUGGUGGUAGAGCUCGAAGCCAUUUCCAAGACGUGGCCCCUCCAAAUAAGACACCAUAUCUGUGAUUGUUGUCGAUGAAUAAGAUGUGCGCGAGCGAAGCAGAUAUCCAGAACCUGGACUUGGACAUUUUGUGGAUGGAGAAUUGUGUUUUCUGUAGUGCAACUGGUCAUUUCACCAGAUCAUUCAUUUUGCCUCUGUAAGGUCGCUAGCUUCCAAGUUUGAGGCCCACCAGUAAGAGAGGUUUUUUGAUGAUGAAUCGAUGAGAGGAGUAUAGAAGACAAGCCCUAACUGUGGAGCCAGAUUCUCAUUUCACAUAUCUGUGGGACCCACAUGCGGGUUCUGUUAGGGACAACACAGUGAAAUAGGCCUUGAUGCAAUGUGCAUAAUUUCAGGUUCAACCUGGUGUUAAGUGGGUAUUGUUGCAAAUCCGGGUGUAAUGCAACACACAUGGCGUUCCCCCUAGUCCCCUAGUGUUACAUGCAUAUUUUUUUUGCUGCAAUGGUUAUUUUGUUAGGACAAGCCUAUAUUUUUUGAAACAUAUUGUUGUGAUUAGCCGAGUUUUUUUUUGUAUUAACUGUGUUUGAUUACGACAUGGAGCAGGCGAAGUUGAUGGAUAUACCUAGUUUUUUCUGUCAUGGAGCUUUUGUUUGAACUAGCAUAGAAGCACCUCACAACUGUGGUAGGAGUAGUUAGUCUACAUGUUUUAAGACAAUAAAGCUGGCAAUAUCCAGCAGUUGGUAUGUCCUGUGAGAAAUCUUUUCUGAAUGAAAACAAGCCUGAACUGCGAAGUCAGCUAAAGAUCAAUAGCAUACUGCACCAGUUCAUGUUGUCCGUUUAGUUCUCAAUUUUCACCUGCUACCCUCUAAUACAGCUUAUAUGUCUCAAUUGCACAGGCUGGUGAGAUUAUGAAGCUUGAGUAUCAGCGGAAGGUUGCUUUGUUAAAUAGACAAAAGAGAAACAAUGCUGCUGUUGAGGUUCUGGAGAAAACUAAAGCUGCUGUUACCCAUUUGCAUACAAGAUACAUAGUUGAUAUGCAAUCAAUGGAUUCAACUGUCUCAGAGAUUCAGCAUCUCCGUGAUAAUCAACUUUAUCCAAAACUUCUGGACCUUGCUGAUAGGUAAUUUAGAUGCAUAAUGCUUUUUUUUUGUCGUGCAUCAGAUUGCCACUGCUUUUCUCAUUAACUUGCCUUUAGAUUUAAUUCAUUUCUGGUCAGUGUGCAUGAUGAGACUAGGACAUAUGGUGAAAACGACGGAGUAGCAUAAACAUAGUUACGGAUAUUUGAAAUAUUAUCAUUUAAGCAUGUAAUAGUUAUUCUUUGUCAGUUGUAUGGCAAAAAUGAAAUUAUACUCCUCAAAUCGAUUUGUUAUUAGGCUGCUGUUCGUGUGCAUCUCGCUUUUCCUUUUGUAACUAUAUGCAUGUUAUUAUACUUUUGUCAUGGGUGCGUGGCUUCGGAUUUAUUGGCAAUGCAAAGUAGCAAAUUUAACUAAAAUAUGUAAUGGUUUCCUUGGUUUUCCGUAUGGUGAAAGAGAGACUUAUAUUUGUCAGACCAAUUUGUGAUUAACAUUUUGCGUGCAUUAUGUUCCUGCAUGAUUCGAUUACAAUAAUAACUCAUCAGGCUGGUACUGGCUGUUCCUCUCCCAAUUAACCUCUUGUUUUACCUUCCGUCUGCCAAUGACAUGCUCAUGCAUCCCAGUACGCCUAGUGGCCUUUUCCUGGAUCAGUUUCUUUAGAGACAUGACACAUGUAAGUGAGUUGUGUACAAAUAAUGUGCUGGAAACUGGUCGGACUCCUACAUCGGGGCAGGACAUGAUCGACCAACAUAAAUCUGAACGGUUUGUAUUGCCUUUGUUCAACGGAUUAGAUUUACUUAAUCAUGGUGGCUCGAAAGGACCCUCUAGUUAGUAUAUAUAGAUAGCCUUUUCCAGUUCAGUAGCUACAGUCAGUUACGUAUAAUUGAGCUUUGGCCAGUGCAUCAACAAUAUUUUCCAAUUUAGCAUGGUUAUAAUAUUUUUCAUCGCAACUACUUCUGUUUAGUUUAAUUACUUGUAAUAAGCCAAAUAACAUGGCUGCUAAACUUUACAAGCUUCAUUUGGUGCUCUCUUUUCAGGCUGGCAAAAAUGUGGGAAGAUAUGCACAUGCAUCAUGCAAACCAGCUGAAAACUGUGUUGGAUCUCAAGUCGGUUGACAUUUCUGAUUCCAGCAUUGAAACAAGUGCGCAUCACCACAGCCACACGCGUCAGCUGCAUGAUAUUGUAGACAAGUGGAACACAAACUUCAGUGAUCUCAUGAGCUAUCAGAAGGAGUACAUAAAUGCUCUCUACAGCUGGUUGAAAUUGAACCUUAUACCUAUAGAGAGCAGCUUAAAGGAGAAAGUAGCAUCGCCACCAAGGGUGCAGCAACCUCCUGUGAAGGCUCUCCUCCAAGCAUGGAAUGAGCAACUAGCCAAGCUGCCGGAUGAUCUUGCCAGGCAUGCCAUCGUUAGCUUCCGGGCGGUCCUGGAAACCAUACUAGGUGUUCAAGACGAGGAGCUGAAGAAGAAAGAGGCUUGUGAACAAAUCCACAAGGAAUACGUGAACAAAUCCACAAGGAAUACAAGCAUGGGCAGCGCAGGACAUUUGAUGACCCGGAGAGCGGCGAGGGGACAAGCCAGAAGGAUGCGAUCUCGGAGAAGAGAUUCGCCGUGGAAAGCUUGAAAAGCAAGCUGGAUAACGAGGUCGAGGCCCAUAACAAGCUGUCGAAGCAAGUGCGGGAGAAAUCCCUUUCGAUCCUGAGAGCGCACCUGCCGGAGCUGUUCCGUGCCCUGACCGACUUCUCCCAUGCUACUGCCGAUAUGCACUCGAAGCUGAGACUGAAUGCACUCAUGCAGGACCAAGGUAGUGGUAACAACUAGAUCAAGAACAUGUACAGGAGUUGUUAGGGUGCUAGCUAGAACCCCCGUCAGAAUAUUGUAAUGCUUGUAUUGUCUCUAGCCUUUUUUGCGGUAUGUGUAGUAGUAUGUCUUGAGAUGUGGACAGUUAGGCACUGUAGCCGUUUUGUUAUUCAUUUGGAUCCUCGUGGGAAAUUAUGAAAGAAGUCCACAUAACCCCCCGGGGUUUCAUGAACUGGCCAGUUUACCCCCUAAACUAAAAAACAGGGUACUUAACCCCCUCAUCUUUCUAAAACCA
rnacentral:lncRNA from 1 species